AGGUGGCACCUGGGAUUUACGUUGGAUUUCUUAAUGAUUUAUGCCUUCUCUUAAAUUUUUUUUAAAAAAAAGGAAAAAAAACAAAGGAAAUAGAUUAGGAGCAUAUUUUUGGAGUUUUUUCCAAAAAAAAAAAAAAACAUAGUACCAUGUAUUUGGAAAAACAUAGCCCCUAGGAAAGGGAAGAUGGAUGAGAGGCUAAUUUUUAAAAAUAUAUUGACUGAUCUCUAUUAUUAUAUGAAUUGGGGAUCGUUGUAUUUGGUUUUUUAUUAGAGUGGGAUUUAGAUUAAGAUUUAAAUUUUGUCCUAUAAUUUGUGUCUAGUUAAUACGUAGUUUCAAUAAAAAUUCAAGCAUAUGCAUAACUAAUAUUAAAAUGCCAUUCCAAUUUUGACAACAAAAAAAAAACACAACCAUUAACCAUUAACAAUUAUCUAAUUAAUGGGAGUUGUUAAAUGUGUUUUUUUUGAGGACAUUCCAUGGUGACUAUUUUUCAAUGUAAUAUGUACAAUAUUCUACUCAAAUUCAAAAUACGAAAAAUAAAAAAAAGCAUGACAUUAUAAGAUAAUCAAAUGGUGAAGGAAUCAAAAUUUUUGAAUUCAUUUUCCCUUCUUUCUCUGUACUUUUUUAAAUCACACCAUGUCCCUACUAAAAAGGAAAAAAAAAAAGAGGCAAAAAUGUCAAUGUCUGAGUAGCAUAAAAUGUUUAUCAAGCAAUGUAUGUCAACUAAAUUUGCAAAUUCAAGAAAAUCUAUGUUAUGGGUGUCCUAAACAUAUUGCCGAAAUAGUCCAAGAGAAAACGUGGACCCAUCAGUAAAACUAUCAACACGCUUUCGAUAUCACUUGUGUUCUGCUCUGUCCACCCCCAGAUACCGGAAGAGUGGAAGCUAAGACCACCUGUGUCAACUGGGGCCCGAACGAAAUAUUUGUGGAGCAGCUAUUUCCAACUGCAUUUUAAAUUGAGGCACCAAAAAAUUAGCGAACUUUCUAAAUUUCUUGAGAAAAUUGAGGCAAAAACGAUGGCAACUCAAAUAACCUUCCAAAAUCAACCUCAAGAAGAAGGCUUCCAUUUCUUCCAUGGCUUUAAACUUCAGCACUGUGCCUUUAUACCAAAAACCCAAUUCAAUUAUUGUUCCAAAAUAUAAGCCCUUUUUAUGUUCAUCUCCUUCACCUUCUUCUGCCAUAGCUGCUGUAUCUGAAAAAACAGGUGGUGGAGUUGCAGAGGAGGACCGUCCUGCUGUUUCUGGUACCCUCUGCUGUUCUUGAAUAUUUUUUCUUUACAUUUCUUUCAACUAAUCUAAAUGAACUAGGAAAUAUGUCCAUCUCAUGACUGCAAUUUUCUUGUUUCUUGGCAAUUUUGUUGCCACUUUGAAGUAAGCCAGUUGUUAUAUUUUGUGUGUGUGUGUGUUUUUUUCAUCUUUCUUUCUUUUUUUUUUUUAAGAAGCCUCUUCAUUAUUUUGACUGGGAAAUGUUGCUUCCUGAUUAACGAGCCUGAGCUGCUGCAUAUUCCAGUCCAUUUUUGUUACACAAGAAAGCUCUAGUUUUUUGUUUAACUAUUGAUUGACAUAGUUUAGCUGACUGAUUACUUCCACUUUUCUCAAAGGGUCCUCUUCUACUCGGAUGCAACUGGAUCUCUUGGAGCAACUCACUGGUGGCUCACCAGUUGAUGGUACUUCAACUCAAAUUACAAUCUCAACUCCAGAAACAUGAACAUAGAUUAUUGAACACUACUACAUUACAUUUUACAUCUGUAACGACAUUUACUGUAGGUUAUGAGAGUGAUGGGAGCUCCCCUGGACUAACAAUUCGGGAUCAGCUUGCUAAUUUGGUUGGAGAGAGAGAUGACGAUUUUAUCGUUCCACUUGGAAAAAAUCUGAAAAAGGUUAGCCCAAAGUUCUUAACUAUUUCACAGAAGAGGAACAUCAAAAGACAGGCUUACCUGGAUGAAGUAUCUGAGAGGAAUGAUUCAGUUUUCUUUGCUACAAUUGGAGCAUUUGUAAUCCUUCCACCUGUUAUUAUCUUAGGAAUUGCUGUAGCAACUGGCUAUGUCCAGCUUUUCCAUGACAUAUAAAUGUAUGGUAUGUUGAAAAAUCACACUCUUCAACACUAGCAUGAUGAAGUAGGCAAUGCUGCAAAAUGUUCUGAAAGAUCUGUUAUAAUUGGCAUUCGCCAAAACAGUUGUGUCCUAAUUCUAAACCUCUACAAGAAUAGAUGAUUGUCUUUACACAUGAAUCUUUGGCAUCUUACGUCUUCAUGGCUCAAUUGUCUACGUGUACUUAAAUAUAUGGCUUAUCCAGAUUGUAAUUGCAGAUGAGUACAACAUGAAAAGAAUAUUUGUGUUGUGGCACCAGUUUUUAGUCGUUGCAAUAUCUAAAACUGAUUGGCACUUGGUUCGUCCUGAUCUUUUUCCUUCCUUCCUCUGUUUCUUCCUUUGUAAUUAUAGUUUCCAUAAAGGUCUGAACUUGGUAAUUAGGGUGAUAAUGUACUGGUGCAUAUAAGUUCUCGUGUAAGAUGCUUGUCUUGAUUGUUAAGUUGUUUGCCAAAAGCAUUGAAUCGCAUAGCUGCGAUUACUUGGCAUCUUACGUCAGUCUGCUGUGUAAUCCACUGGUCAUCUAAGAUUGAAUGUGCUAUAGUAAUCUAACUACACUCAUAUAUCAAACUGUUCCUUGUUUUGCAACCGGAGUGUACAUGUUUGUGGGAAAUACUGAUAUUGGAAGUCUGGCCGCAUAAAAUGAGGGAGCAAAUGACACCUUAGAUGUAUAAAGUGCAAACCAACGAAUACUCCACUUUUCUAGUGGCGUCAAGCUAUCACACUGGAGUUCAAAAUGAAGAAUGGUUAGAAAGAAAUCCCAUGUCAGUAGAAGUAAGCUUUUUCCUAGAUUCUUCUGUCAACAAGGCUCUUCUGCUGUUUCCUUCUGCUUAUAUGUUGGUGAAAUCUCUUGUUCGGUAGGUUGUACAGGCUCAUUGCCUAAAAUUACUCCCUGUUUCUGAAUGUACUCCCAUUUUUCUUGGAAAAGAUAGAGUAAGGCGAUAAGACAGAUUUCCACUGUGAAAAGAAUGGUCCAGAUUCGUGCACUUCUUGAAGUUUUCUUACCAUAAGCUUGUAAACCAGUGUAUAUAUUGAUGAUUCCCAGCACAGAAACUGCAGUCCCUAGUAACCAGUGAACAAAAAACCAUCCACUCCUUGCGUUGCUACCUCUGAAGAAAAACAUGGUAAAUGCACUCAGAAACUAAAUGUCCCUAAUCAAUUGCAUCUCUGAAAAUUAAAAAAAUAUAUAAUUUCUAUGGUGGACAUAUCACAUGCUUUACCUAUGUGGUCGUAUUAUACCAACCAACAUUUGCAGCCAGACAAGACCGUAAAGUGCUAAUCCCAACCUUUGAUGAUCAUUGUUGAAAGCGUUCUCAAAGUUUAUAAAGGACAUUAUUGCUCCAGCUGUCAAAAGGAGAACUGACAGUAUCUGCAGAACAGAAAUAUUCUCUGUUAGAUGAUGAUGAAGGAUAGCUUGUAAUUCAUACCAUUGUAUGAAUAAUCUGGGUCUAUUGAUCUGAACAACAUAAACAUGCUAACGUUUUAUGUUAAUCAGGAAAUUCCUGAACUUAGCGUAUUAACUGUGUGCUAUGUAUGCGUGUGUAUUACAGCUUAUGCCAAUUAAGAAACCUAAAAAGUUCUUUAUGGCUUUUAAACAACAGAAUUUUCAUAAUUGCCUUUUCUUCGUCUCCAAGUAUCCAUUAUGAAUAACAAAAAACAUCUUUCCGGAUUAAGAAAUAUGAACUAAGUAAUUAUUAUCAACAGACGGUGGGUAAGAUUAAUUAUUUGCAACAUGGGAAUCAUUACUCCUUUUUCUUGAACCAUCAUGAACAGCUGAAUGUGGAGACAAUCAAUCUGACCAAGAAAAUUUUCUAGCAGACAAUGUUUAACAUGCUAAUUAUAGUUGUCAUGCAAUUAUCUGGAGGAUAGCAGUUAAUAUUGAAGUGAAGAAUGGCAAUCAAAGUUAACUGUAACUGAAAACAACAAAUUUUGACUUGCCUGUAAAACACCAUGAAUGUAGAGUAAGAUUUUUAGCCGUCUUCCACAUUCCUCUCUGUUUGACUUCCUCAUUACAAGUAUUCCAACAGGCACCAAGAAACCCAUGGAAGCCCAUAACAGAAAUCCGUGGAUCGCAAUCUCAGAUGAUAGUUUAGCAGUCAUCUAAUUGAUAAGGAAAAGUUGUACUGUAAAUUUCUUCAAAAAAAGGAUUACUUUAUACAUGAAUUCCUGAUCGAAAUGAUCUAAAUAUUAAUGAAUCCAAAGCUAGAAUUAGAACAUCUGAUAUGCCAUGCAUGAAAAUGAAUUACCUGUGUUUUGUUUUUGCCGCUUGAAUGAGUAUUGCCUGUUUUUAUAUGGACGAUAGACGAGCACACAACUAAUGGAAGUUGAGUAAGAACAGCCAGGGGCAAGCUCCUCUGCUUGUAAAGCAUGAUCAAACUCUUCAAGGACCAAUAUUGCUUGUCUUGUGUUUUGAGGCUUCAAAUUACCAGUAAAAGCUGCAAUUUAAUCUUGACUCUUGAAUUAUAGAGAGAGCAGCGGCCACAGAACUUGUUCUCUUAUAUACAUAUAUUCUCCUACGCAGGCUCAACUACAUUGCUUUUUCCACCACUGCAAUGCCCAUCGUUAUGGUAACUAGUUUAUUUGCUGUUGUAUAUAGAACAUUAGAGGAAGUUGAGCAUUAAUCUUUUCGGAGGAGCAUCUCCUCUUUCUGUCUAAAGAAGCUAAAGCUGGACCUCUGUGAAUAAACUAUUGUAUGCACAUUCCUUUUGAAAUCCACCGGCAAGACUUUUUAUAGCCAAAGAAGCAAGAAAUGGUUGUUUGGACAUUGGCUGUUGUUUCAACCUGGUGGGACCACUUUAACAGGCUUUUUCAUUUGAUGGGAAGAAUAUUUGAUUACAAAGUAGAAGAAUGUCAAUGGUAUAUCAAAACUGAAAAGAAGAUGACUCAGUGGUCGACAGAAAGUAAUACAAAAUAUUAUCCUUUACGAGUCCAACGUCCAGAGAUCACUACAGAAGAUGUUAAACUUUUGUCUUCCUUAAUGCUCGAACAGACUGGGGAUGUGUAUACCAUCCCUUUGUGGGAUUUUAGCCUCUGCUGGAAUGAACGCUACUUUUGACCAAAUAUAUUCCAAUUAGACAGACAACUUUUCUUGAAAAUCAACGCAUCUUCAUAAACUUGCUCCCAGUUUCUGAUUUGCAUCCUAUUUUAUGUUCUUUUCUUGAAGUUCUGUUGUGGAAGUCGAUAAUGUGGAGAGGCUUUAUGGCACAAUCAGGCAUAAAUGUUGAUGAAGUGCAGAUUAGAUUGUUUCUGCUGUACUUUAAAUCAGUGGCAUAAUAUGAUUACUUCCGAGGCAUCUCGCAGUUCAAAGACACCAGCAAAUAAGCUAAUCUAAAGUUCUGUACUUAAAUCAUUAUAACCACCAUAAUGGAUAAUUGUAGAGGUAUUUAAGUUAGAUUUACAGCUCAUAAAAUAGGUAAGAAGUACCAUUUUAGAAUCAUUAUGUGGUUCUUACGACUUAGCAUAUCAUGUAUUCGUAAUCAACUGAUCAGGUUACUGAAAUUGAUUUGACACAGCACCCCCCAUCUUGAAAAGGUACAGAGAGCAUGAAGAGAAUGGUUGAGCAUGAUAAUUUAGCUCUUUGCAACUUUUUUCUUGGGGGGGACCUCCAUUAUCAAGCACUGGAUUUGAUUCUUGGAUGCCAUGAUAACAAUUUGGAGCCUACGUUGUUGAUGUAUCUGUUUGCCUUUAUGUUUCACGUGGUCCAGAUCCAACAAUGCACUAAUUGAUCUUCCAAUGCAUGGUUUAUACAAUCCAACGACGUACCUGAGGAGUGAAUUGUCUCCAUCGAAGCGAUUCAGCAGCAUUACAGGGAGGAACCAGUUUCCUUGAAUGUCUUAUAUUAGAAAAUGUGCAACAAUUUUGAAAUUUACCCUUCAGUUCCUCCAUAGCAACGAGCUCGUGAUGGUUGGUGAAGACUGAAAAGAAUGAUGAGACCAGAAAAUUAGCAGUGGUAAUAAUAACAGUAACAACAAAUAAUGAUCGUAAUAGCUAAUCAUGAUGACAGAAACAGGACCAUGCAUGAACAAACCCUGGUAUGCUCUUGUUAACUGUCAAUUGAUUGAUGUUUUCUCGUAUGCAUGGUGAGUAUACACAUCAAUUAUUCAAAUAAGCCUUUUCCUUUUUACUUUGUUUAUGCCUUUUUCAAAAAAGUUUCUGGUGCCCAAAGCUGAUUAGCAUUGUUCAUAUUCUCUUUUUCUACCACCCGGCACAUUCCUCUCCAGACGACUCAUAUUUGAUGUAAAUUAAACCACAUCAAACUAGCUUUCUUACUGUGACUGCACGUAUUUGAACCAACUAUCGGAUUACAACUACAAAAUCAAGAUGCAAAAAUGUGGUAAUAUGCAGGAAGAGGAGUGUGAUCUUGACCAAAUUGGAGGAACAUGCGAAGCAACUUUAGUAAUAAGCCAGCGGCGCAUGGUUUAGAGUUUUAGACCGCACACAUGAACUAAUAAUUUCAUCUUUUGCAAGAAGUGGAUGGAUCUGUUAAAAUUCGAUCCCACCACUACUUUCUUUGGUGAAAAAACUUAAUUAAUAAUAAAAUUUCUUCCACUGGAAUUAUGAAAACUUAGGUCCCAUUUCGAUUGCUAUUUUUUAGAGAUUUUAUCAAAAAAAAAUUUUAUUAUACUGAUUUGAUAUAUAUGAAGUAAAUGACGAAUGAAAAGCGUAUUCGCAAAAAAAUUAAAAAUUUUUCUACAAAAAACUGCAAUCCAAACAUCAACUUAACGAAGAAUUAGGACCCACGUGUUUAGCUAACUUUUUUUUUUCUCCUUUUAUAUGUAUUAAAAAAUGUUUUCAGAUAAAUCUUAAGAGGAACAGCAAUUCCAGACCAAAAAUAAUACCUUCUUUUUUUUUUAAUAAAAAUAACGCCUUCAAACAUGGAAAUUUUUUUGUUGAAUUUUAUAAAUCAGUUAUUGAUAUAUUAUUUAAAAAAUUAUGUUUAAUCACUUUUUACUUUUAAGUACUUUUUUUUAUUUUACAUAUAUCGUACGAACAAAAAAUUUAAAAAAAAAUGCACCCAUGGCCAUUACCAAUUGGUCCAAUUCAAGGGGAACUUCGGCUCAAUGAAUUUUAUAAUCAUGCAGUCAUUCUUUCUUUUUCCUUCCUGGAGGACAAAAUUAAGACAAAAUUUUACUCCCCGACCCGUAGUUUUUACUAUAUUCUUUUAGAACCCCCGAUUUUUCUUGAACUUUCUUUUCCUGUUUUUUUUUCCUUCUCUUUCCUACAGCACUCUCCAGUCUAUCAAAUUUCUCAGCGAUCACGUCUACUAAAUUUCCGACCUUGACUGAUCGCCGGCCACUGGUAACCACCGCAAUCAUGGCCGCAGUCUCAGUGGCGGCGGAAUGGCAGCUCCUCUACAACCGCUACUACCGGAAACCCGAACUGUACCAAAUGCAAUGGAAGCAUGUGGACCUCACGCGGAACAAGGUCGCCUGCGCACCCUUCGGCGGUCCUAUCGCAGCUAUCCGCGAUGACGCCAAAAUCGUCCAGCUCUACUCCGAAUCGGCCCUCCGGAAACUCCGUAUCUUCAACUCUGCCGGCGUCCAGAUCUCCGAAACUGUCUGGAGAAACGCUGGCGGACGGUUAAUUGGCAUGGCGUGGUCCGACGACUUAAAAUUAAUUUGCAUAACCCAAGAUGGCACCGUUUAUUGCUACUCCUUCCACGCUGAGCUCAUCAAGACCCUAUCCCUUGGUCAAGACGGAUUAAAACACAGCAUUGUGGAGUGCGUUUUCUGGGGAAACGGCGUCGUAUGCAUCAAUGAAGCCGUCGAGCUCUACUGCAUACCCGAUUUUAAUAAUCCGUGCCCGAUAAGGCUGGCGGAUACGGGUUUGGAAGAUAUGCCGUUGUGUAUGGCCGUGAUCGAGCCACAAUAUACGAUGUCGGGAAAUGUGGAGGUUUUGUUAGGGGUUUCGGAUUCUGUGAUGGUUGUAGAGGAAGAUGGGGUGCAGCAGACUGGCGCCGAAAUUGGGCCAAUUCAGAAAAUGGUGGUUUCCAGAAAUGGAAAGCUUAUAGCUUCCUUCACUCAUGAUGGAAGGCUUCUUGUACUCUCCUCGGAUUUUUCCAACAUUAUUUUCGAGUACACUUGUGAGGUAAGGCUGUCUAGCCUGCUGCUUACAUGAUUAUUUGUUUUUUUUUUCGCUGUAUUGCCAAUUAAACGUUCGAUCGGAAAAAUGUUGAAUUGGAAAUAUUUUUUGUUAUUUGUAGUCAGCAUUGCCUCCUGAGCAGUUAGCUUGGUGUGGAAUGGAUAGCGUGUUGCUUUACUGGGAUGAUAUGCUUUUGAUGGUUGGUCCUUAUGGAGAUCCAGUUCGCUACCUUUAUGAUGAACCGAUUGUGCUUAUUCCGGAAUGUGAUGGUGUGAGGAUACUUUCGAAUACUAAUAUGGAGUUCCUGCAACGUGUUCCGGAUUCUACUGUAUCCAUUUUUCAAAUCGGUAGUACACAGCCUGCUGCUUUACUAUAUGAUGCCUUGGAUCACUUUGACCGCCGAAGUGCUAAGGUGAGCCAACAUGGGUCUCCUUUGUCAGAGUUUCUCAACGUGUGUUCAUGUGUUCUAGAUAUAUAAGGCUGAAAAGAUUUUACAGUAGUAGGUUUGUCUUAAGGAUCUGUUUGCUGUUAGGUAAACAGGGAAAUAUGUGAGGAACGUAGCUGGAUCACUUUUCCUGUUUGUAUAUCUAAUUUUGAGUAUCAUACGCAUCAUUGAAGAAAGAAAAUGUUCUAAUGGAGUUUUUUCAACCCUUUUGUUUAUAUGCAUGGUUUUGGUGAUUAGACUGUAAUUUGAUCCUCCUUCAUCUGGGAAGUUAUCCGGCUAUAUGGUGUUUUCCUAAAAGCCGCUUCAAGAAUAAUAUUAUGUUUUGUGAAAUCAUUUUCUGCAAAGGCACCUAUUGCUAAGUGGCUUAAACUGCUUACUAAUCGAGAAUUGAUCAUUAAAUGGCAACUAUCCUACCGCUGAUUAGCAAGACGUCUGCUUUUGAGGGUAAAGAAGAAACGAGGCUACUUUGGUACCCUGCUUCAGUUGUUUCAUAGUUUCCUGCUGGUCUCCUCUUCUCAUUUCUCUGCCUUUGCUUACUUUCACUAUAGUUAGCAAUUUUCGGAUGAUGUUCUUUUAGUAAGUAGAGCCUAGACACACCGCAAAUGCUCCAUAAAUUGGAAAUGUAUUGUUACGGCAGUAGAAGACUAGAAGUCGAUCUGUAUUUGUGUUCUAUACUUGGAUAGAAUAUUUUCAUUAUACACGUGUCUUAGAGUGCUGUUGCUUCUUUGUAAAUGCCUUGUUAGUUUAUUAACAAUUUUCAGAGACUUGUACAGCUAAAUGUCUUCUCUUCAUGAAUACACACAGUAUUUUCCAUGUCCUUGCGUCAUGAGAGCGUUGUUUUCUCAGUUUUGUGCUAAAUCUUCGAGCAAUAUGUGUUCAUCAGAUGUUCCAGUGCAAGAAUGGAAUACUAUGGUAUUGUAACAGUAUAAUUUUGUUAUAUAUACAAAGAAAUCUCAACAAUGAAAUUUUCUUCCAGGCAGAUGAAAAUUUGAGACUUAUUCGCUCUUCGUUGCCUGGGGCUGUUGAAGCUUGUAUAGAUGCUGCAAGUCAUGAAUUUGAUAUUUCACAACAACGAGCGUUACUCAGAUCUGCAAGCUAUGGCCAAGCCUUUUGCAGGUCAGUGGUUAUAAUCUUAUUGCAGUAUGUGAACAUCUAAUGUCAUCUAUGAUGAGAAAAUUGGGUUUAGGCUUGAGAGUGUCGUCUUUAAUUUAAUGCCUCACAUGGAUGAGCUAUUCAAAUUAUCUUCUUUCUAUUUGUCUUAUGCAUGAAAACUGUAUGUACUUCAACACAAUCAAUUAUAUAAGCUAGUGGGAAAGACACAAACCAAUAUGUGCAUACUAAAAGAAAAAUGUAUUAGAAAUUAGCAAGGUGUGGAAGUUAUUGGAAGUUACCAUAAGUUCAUGGUUUUCUGUUGGUCUUUUUGUUGUAAAUAACAAUCAAUGAUGUAUAAAUGGAAAUCUGAAAAGUGACAUAAAUGAUAACACCAAGCCCUCAUGCCUUUGCUGUAUCUAUGGUAUAUAUGGAUGAUUAAGCGUCAGGCUGUGGGUAAUGUUUUGUGUCUUACCCUUAAAAUUUUCAAUACUAGCAGAUGACAUCUCUUCUUAAUUAAGACUCUUUAAGUUUUUCUUUGAUUGUUUACUCAGGUGCUCUUCUUUGUUUUUCUACACCCCAGUCAAAUAUUAAAAAAUUUGCAUAUUGUUAAGGUGUUCUAUAUUAUUGACUGAGAAAAACCAAAGUUUCUAUGUCCACGUUUGAAUACUUUAUGUUGCUUCACAUCAUAUGGUUCAUGCAUUUUUUAAAUCUAAUACCUAGACUUACACCCCUUCAUUACAGUCCCUUUUACAUGGAAAGGGAGAUAAAAAAUUGGAUUGUUUAAUGCCUUGAAACAAGAAAUAUUGGAUUAUUCCAUUCAGUUUCACUAGAUAUGCAAACAGUGUAAAAAUAGAUAGAGGCUAUGAUGACAUGCAACAAGUGUAUACAAAACUUGCUGCUACUUUGCUUGAUAUUUUCCAACCUGACGUUUCUCAUUCUGAGAUUGAAAUUAAUAAAUAAAUGCAUUUAUAUUCAUAUAUGGUACUCAGCAAGCUAGAGAAAUGAAGGAUAAAAUGGAGUUGUUUCUUUCUUUCACCCGUGCCACAAAACUUUCAGUUGGAUCUCUUUUCCAUGCUGCUGGAAGAAAAUUGUUUUUCUGAUUCUUGUCUUGAUAAUGAUAACCAGUUGGCUUUGGCAGCCAAUUUCAGCGCAAUCGCAUCCGUGAUACGUCUAGAACUUUACGAGUUCUGAAUGCUGUACGCCACCCUGAUGUCGGGAUUCCACUCAGUAUUCAACAGUAUAAGGUCCUUCUUGCUUCACAUGUUAAUUUUUUUUGGAAUUUUUAACUAUUUUCUAUAAUUAUUGAAGGCUAUCAAGUUGUCUUUCUCUGUCUCCUAUCAGUUGCUUACACCAUCAGUUCUGAUUGGACGCCUGAUUAAUGCUCAUCAGCACCUUAUAGCUUUGCGGAUAUCAGAAUAUUUAGGGAUGAAUCAAGUAAGUUAUGUUUCUGUUAUCAGUAUAUUGCAUUUGACUUUUUCCUGUAAGCUGAAAAGGGCGAAUCUAUUGGUAAACUUAUUUCAUCCAAGCCAAGUCUGUGUUCUGUAUGUGACGACAGUAUAUAACUAUACCAUUUUUUUGUUCUUUUCACAUGUUAGUAAUCUAUUGUGUGUUUAUUCUCUUUUAUUUUUUGAACUCAAUGAUAUCUUUUCAUUCUUUCAUUUGCAUCAUGUGCAGGAAUUAAUAGGAGCCUGUAGGGUAUAUUCUUCUGCGGUUUAUUGGAUUUUCAGUGCACUAACUUUUCUUUGUUAAGAGCCCAUUCAAUGUCAUGAUUCAUUUUGUAGGUUAAUAGUACUUUGUCACUGUUUGGCCUCAAAGUCUUCCGAUCUGAUUUGUGUUGAGGGUGGAUGUUUUGUUGGGUUUAAGAUAGUGAAGUUGUACUUGGUGUGAUACGUUUCACCCUUCCUAUUACCCUCAACACUUCAUUUUUUGAAUCUUUCUUCUCAUAUUCAUUAUUUGAUCUUGAUUAUGUGAUGAAAAUAGUUUUUGCAAGCUUGCAGAAAUGGCUUUAGAUAGAAUGAUCACAAACAAGAAAGGAUAGAUAGAAUGGUCUACUUCAACUAUCUGUUUGUGCUAAAUUAUAAAACUACAACUGCUCCAAAUCCACUUUUAUUUUAAUUCUUUAUAUGGGUUAUUUUUCUUUUCACGUAGCAUAUGAUUCCAUACUAGGCUUUGUCCUGCUUACUCUUUUGGGUUUUUCUGCAGGAAGUCGUCAUCAUGCAUUGGGCGUGUAACAAAAUAACUUCUUCAUUGGCAAUCCCCGAUGCUGAUCUCCUUCAAAUCUUGCUCGAUAAGGUCUUUGUUCAGAUUUAGUAAUUUCUACAAUCUUUUCUGCUCAUAAUGUGUGGCUUAAUCAAUUGUUUGGCAAUUGCAGUUGAAGUUAUGCAAAGGUAUAUCUUAUGCGGCAGUUGCUGCCCAUGCUGAUAAGAGUGGCCGCAGGAAAUUAGCCGCCAUGCUAGUUGAACACGAACCUUGUUCCUCCAAGCAGGUUCCUUUGUAUUUUCCUUGUAUAGUUCUUUUGUGAAGUAUGCUUGCUAUUUUUUUUUUUUUACCAUGUUGGUAUCUUCAAUGUGCCUUGCGGUUUCUAGAUGACUGCUGUGCUUUUUCUUCUGUAUGAUGCUUGGUUAGGUUCCUCUCUUGCUUAGGAUCGGAGAAGAAGUUACUGCUCUAGCCAAGGCAACUGAAAGUGGAGAUACUGAUCUUGUUUAUCUUGUCCUGUUUCAUAUCUGGCAGAAGGUGCUUGAUUACUUUAAGAGUAGUAUUUUAUCCCUCAAUAAAUGUUUAUUUUAUUAUUGAGGAGUACUAACUUGUCAAACAAAGAAUAUCCAUCAGGUGAUGACAUUUUGUUUGUCCUUUUACUGCUAAUGUUCCAGGGACCAACUAUGGAGUUUCAUAGAACAAUACAUGCCAGGUCACUGGCACGUGAUUUAUUCAUAUGCUAUGCAAGGUAUGUGUGUUCAGUGGGUUUAGUUUUGUUUUGUCCUCUUUCUGCUGCUUCAAAUUUAUAGUUGACAUAAUACAUGAAAUUCUUUUCUUUUCUAUGGUGUCAAAGUUGUAGUAAUACUGGCAUCUUUUUGUUCUUCAGGUGCUAUAAGCAUGAAUUCCUGAAGAAUUUUUUCAUAACUACUGGAGAAAUUCAGGUUAGUUUAGAUUAGCUUACUAUCAAGGGUUAGUUUUCAUUCUUUUCGGAAUUAAAAUAAUAUGUGUUUGGAUAGGAGUGUAUUUGAAGUCUUAUUUGGAAUAAUUACUGUAGCACUUUUUGUGAUGUAAUGCAUGUGAGAUGAAAAGGUGGUUGGGAAGAUAAAAGGUUGUCUUGGAAAACGUGUUUGUGAUGCAGGCAAAUAAUUUUUGUGCAAAUGUUACCUAUAAUGUAAGAAAUAAUUCUAUAGCGUUGUUGUAUGUUAUGUCAACUGGGUUCAGUUGAGAGCUGUCACCAAUCGUGACUCUUCCUGUUUAAUGAUGCUUGAACUCAUGGUUGGAUUAUAAAUAAAAUUUUGUUUGUCAACCACUGGCUGACAUUUCGUUUGUAUCUCCAAUAUUUAGUGAGAGAGAAACUAUUUUAGUAACUUAGCAGCUGCAAUUCCAUGGAGGCUGUUAUGAUGUGUGGGAAAUUUUGUAUCAAAACACGAAUUACAUGAGAUUUUUCAUUGUUGGGGUGCAAUAUAAAAUUGAUUUAAAUUGUUGAAGCAUCCAGCUUUUACUGCUUGUUGUCGAUGUAUACAUGAUAGUUUUCUGCGUUUUGUUGCCUCAGUAAUUGAGGUUAUAUUCCUUCCUUCAAAGGUGAUACAACAGUUCAAGGUUAUAUCAUUUUUCUAGGAUGCGGCUUUUCUAAUGUGGAAAGAGUCAUGGGAAUUGGCAAAGAACCCAAUGGCAAGCAGGGGAUCUCCCCUUCAGGGUCCUCGGAUAAAGCUCAUUGAGAAUGUGCAGAAACUUUUCUCUGAAACCAGGGAACAUGUUUUUGAGUCAAAGGCAGCUGAAGAGCAUGCAAAGUUGUUGAGGUGACAUUUCAUCCAGCACAUUAGAAUAUGAUCAUUUUUUGACUUCCUCUGCCAAACUCUUGUUAAUCGAUAUGAAGCUUCAAGUUUGAGGUUAUUGCCACAUUGUGCUGUUAGUUGCUUUAUUAUGAGAGUGACACCAGAGAUGAUGCUUGCAUUGCAUACGUCAAUUAGCAUAUUAGCUUUAGAUAAAAACUUCUUUUGCUACUGUUAGACACACGUGACAUUUUGUACUAGGAGGCUACCAAACAAAGUCCUCUUGUCCUGUGGACCAUAAAGCUGUAUAUUUUUUCAUUUGAUUUGAAAAAUAUAUUUUGAUUUCUUCUGCUCUUUGGCUGGUAAUGCUCAAUGUGUAUUAACUGCAGGAUGCAACAAGAGUUGGAGGUCACCACAAAGCAGCCUAUUUUUGUGGAUUCAAGCAUCAGUGAUACAAUUCGAACAUGUAUUGUACUGGGAAAUCAUCGGGCUGCUCUGAAAGUUAAAACAGAAUUUAAGGUCUGAAAAUGUUUGUAUUUUCAUUUCCUUCUAUUAAUUGGAUAAGAUUACACAUGAAGGAAGAUGUUGGGAUGAUACAUCUCUUCCUUUUUCAUGGACUGCCAUGUUAGUUAUCAUGCACUUUCUCAAUCUGGACAUUGUGAUUAUGAAACCUGUGUAAAAUGAUUUAGGUUUCGGAGAAGCGUUGGUAUUGGCUUAAAGUAUUUGCUUUGGCAACAAUCAGGGAUUGGGAUGCUCUGGAGAAAUUCUCAAAGGAGAAAAGACCACCCAUUGGUAAGCUGAAAACGUGUGUCCAGAAGCAUUUACAAUACCUUUUUUGACUUUGUUUGUCUUGAAGUAUAUGCGGUGGCAUAUGAUAUUCCUUUAAUUUGAUGAACUCCCUCAUCCCCUCCAUUUCCUUCCAUUUGUAGGCUAUCGACCAUUUGUGGAGGCAUGUAUUGAUGCUGAUGAGAAAGGUGAAGCUCUUAAAUACAUACCAAAGCUGUCUGAUCCUAGGGAGAGAGCUGAGGUAAGCAUGGCUGGGAUUUAUAUUCAGUGUGACUGCAUGAUGUGUCCAUUACAUAUGUUUUUCCUUAUAGUAUACAUUUUAUUUUCUUUUUUAGUUGCCCUAUCAAAUGUGGAAAUGGUAUACCAUUUACUAUAGAGUCAAAUCACCGUUUAAUGUUAGUAGCUGGUUUGAAAAAUGAUUUCAAACAAAGAAGAAAAGACAGAUACUCAUAAGGGGAGGCAUUUGUUUUGUUUUGCCAUUAUGCAUCGUUUUCAACAAUUAAUAAAAAAUUUUGACAUCCAUGAGCAGGCUUAUGCUCGAAUUGGAAUGGCAAAGGAAGCUGCUGAUGCUGCAUCUCAGGCUAAGGAUAAUGAAUUACUAGGUCGAUUGAAAUUGACCUUCUCGCAGAAUGCAGCAGCUUCAUCAAUAUUUGAUACCCUUCGAGAUCGGUUGUCCUUCCAGGGGGUUUCUUAGUUUUGCUCUUUCGGCUCUGGCAUUUCACCUCUUCGUUGAUUUUGGAAGUAUGGAGCUGAGUGAUGGCGUUUGUUAAUAUGUUGAUAUCAUGGUUAAUGUUAUGAAGCUUCCAGAGCGAGCAUGUGACAGGCUGCUUGCUUGUUCUGGUGACCACCCUGUCAAAGAGCCUGAUUACUGCCCUUGUAUCUUCUUCUUUUAAGCUAUUGCAGUCUAUGAAAGAACACGUACAAACCAAUUGGUUUAGCUUCACUGUGGGCAGCGGGCAGCUCGCUUUGAUGCAUAGUUUUUGCCAAUGUAAUGUUAACAUCAGUUUGUAAACAAAACACAACAUGAACGGUAUAAUAUGGCUUGCAACCGCUCAGUGUGGCUUUUAGUUAUUUAUAUACGUGUUAUUGCAAGCCUUCUGUUAUUUUGCAAUUUAUUCAUCCGUUCUGUAAUCUACUCAUUCGUUUACUUCAUCUGCUAAUCAGAAAUGAGCAGCUUAUGAUGCCAACGCUCUCUGUGGUAUAAACUUUCAAAUUGCUACUUCAUCCUCCCCCGUUUUCCCAUAGCAUUUAAUAUGCAAUCGUAAAGAUGCAACGAAGAGCACUUCUCUAUACGAAAUUGUAAAGAUGCGAGUCAUUACGACGUCCCGGGAGGAUCCGUUUCUACUGUCUUGAGACCCGGUUCAAGGCUCAGCUGACCUCACUAGAAAAAGGUUGGAAUAAGCCUUUUCAAUGACUUGAUAUUGUUGCUAAUCAACCCUAUAAACUGAUAAAAUCUGGUGCUCCGUCAUGGAAGAGGAUGAGUUUUGUGUCUGAUACAAUCUGGUGCUCAUUUAUGUAAGAGAAUGCAAUUUUUGUCUCAUGUUAUUGCAGUGGUUUAAACGAAUACAUUUUUUGAGCUAGAAACCCUGGAAGAGCAAGGCAAAAUACCAGCGCUCAUAAAUGUGUGGAAACAGGGAAAAGUAUGUUAUGUGGCUCGGACGGUCGAGAGGCUAUUUCAGAUGGUAGCCAAAAAAACUUUGGUUCAUCGCUCACUUUGGAACUGCAUAAACUGAAUUCUCGUAUUUUCCUUCCCACCUGUGAAUCAGAUUAAAAUGCAACGAUGAAAAUAAUAACAGAAACUAGCGGAACCAAGUUAUUAGCUGUUCAGGGUCGAAGGCAUGCAAAACAAAACCUGCAAUCUUCUCUUUCUGGAAUCUUGAGCUCCAAAUCUUCUUCAAAUGGUUGGAAUACAACAUUGACUCUCUCAUCACCCACUCUAUCAAAAGUUGAAGGAUCCCACUGUUAUUUAAGGAAGGCAUGGCAGCAAUAUCUUGGUCAGCAUUCUCAUUUUGAUACAGCAAGAGUUCUUGUAACACAGACGGCACAGAGGGAGGGAAAAAGGAUAAAAGAUGGUUGCAUUGGAACAUUCAAGAAUGUUUGUGUGUGUGUGUGUGUGAGAGAGAGAGAGAGAGGGAACAUACUUUUGGAGAGUUAUCCUUGUCAAUUGUAAGAGCUCUGAUACCCUUUAGAAGAAACGAGAGUAGACUUCAGAGGUAGAAAGCAACACAUCACUUUCUGUUGUUGCACUAUAAAACUGAAGUAGCAAGAUAUUACCUCAUAAACAUCACCGGAUAUUGCCGUACGAAGAAUGUUCAUAGUGAGACGAAACUCUUUUUUCAGGCAUUCAGGCAGUGACUGUUUCCUUCCUUCUCGGAUCUAGAAAUUGUUUAGUACCGAUUUUAGAGCAGAGAGGAUACAGCAAAGUUGAGAAAUUGCAAUAUGAAAACUAUCAAAUAGUAGAAGCUUCAGACAAAGCUGUACAACUUAUAACUCAAGCAGCAAAACGUUAUUCACGAGUUCAAUUUCUGGUGUUGAAUAUGGAGAAUUCCACGAAAUCUUAUAAGAACUGAACUAAGAACUUUGAAAGUUACACAAGCCAUAUGAAGUCUCGCACUGACAUGAUAAUAAUCAUGUUUUUAUUUUGCAACAAGUGUAUUCAAGCUUCAAAGAUGACUUUGAAAAAGACAAAAUCCAUCACUGCUACACGGGGAUAUAAAUGUCAAAUAUUCAAACACAUUUUUGUGAAAAAUGUACUCCGUUAUAUUCUCUGAAACAAAACCUGUUUUCUUAACUUCUAAAUUACAUACGCUCAGUAGGAUAACUAGAGUUAAAAUUUCAAUCUUUCACAAACAUUAAAAACUGAAAAGAAAUUUACUUUUAGACAGUUGAUUUAGCAAGCAGGGAAAUGCAAAGAGAAGAAUGAGAUGCAACUCCCACUGCAAUGACCAUCCCACAUCAAGCACACACAAAAAGAUCAAAACAGAUAAGAGAAAGAAAUCAAGCAUGAAGAGAAAUGGAUGUAUAAAGAGAAUGAGAAAGGAUCACUCAAACUCUCACCAAGAAAAACUGCUGUUCAAAUUUUUGAUACUUCUAAGUAUGUUAUAUAUUUGUACAACUAUCCACCAGUUCAGAUUAAUAUCAACUGCUGAAAGAGGAGGUUCUAGGGAAUUCCAUUACCGAUCUCAAUGUUAUCUUUAAUCCUGUCGGAGAUGAUCUCUUUAAUCCUUUAAGCACUGGAACAAUCCAACCAUUUCCUUCUUUGGUAGCCUCAGCUUCCUGAGAUUGACUAUGCACAUUAGGUCCUGUAAUUUUAUAACACGCAAGACUUUUUUGAAUCAUGAAUAUUAUCUCUUACAAGGGAUUUUAUGAUCUCCUCCACAGAAUCCUUAGAAAAACAAUCAUCUAUCAUUUUUUGUCUGCAAGUAAACCAAACAAGAUUAAUCCUGUGAACAUUUCUGAAAUAGUAAUGCAGUAAACUGAGAUGACUUACUUCUUCAAGACACUUUCUUCAUCAAUCUGAACAUCAGAGGAAAAUUCUUCAAUGGUAGAUUUGACAGCAGUCUCUGCACCAUUAUUUAAGCUCACCAGGCGUUUCUCCAGUUCAGGCAGUUUCUGGAUGCAGAACAUGGCUUAAACGUAGUCAACAUUUGAUAUUCUAACUUACUGGACAAAUCUGAUGCAACUAACAAUGUGUCUUAUCCAUUUGAGGGAUUCUAACAGAUGAUGGAUAAGGAUUUGAUAAGCAAUAGAGCCAAUCUGGUAUUUAGCAAAGAAUGUCUAUUGUCUAAGACAAUAAUAAUCUUUAGUUAAUAGUGUCUUCCUUUUUUUUUGGAUUAAUAAUGUCACGUAUUGGAUAAGACACUAAGAUGGACUGACAACAGUUCCUCUUUCCCUUGACUUCCUGACCAUGGAUCCUCUCUCCCUCAACUUCUUUUACCUCUCCCCCUCCAAACAACUGAGGGGAUAUAUCCCAUUUUCCUAAUCAACCCCCCGCUUAGUCGCUAUAUGAGCCCUUAAAUUACUAUUAUGGAGCACUCAAGGAACUAAAAGGUGUGUUGUCAUGAGGAAGCUUGUUGCUUUUACAAUCAGAAAAAAGAUUUCCCAGGAACAUGCUCCUUCAACUACUCAAUCUGACACAGGACUAAAGUACCUAAAACAACUUUAAAAUUUGCAAUGUACCUCGGAGGGGACAAAAUGCGUAGCCAAUCCAGCGGCAACCAACUCUUUACCACUCAGCCUUGCCCCUGUUAGGGCCAAGUAUUCCCCUGCAUAUGAAGUUCCACUUAGAAAGUUGAAGUUGACCUUAUUGUUCUUACGACACAUGCAGAAGGAAAAACACUUCAACUAUUGGAUACAUAAUGUGUAAUGAAAAUCUGGUCUAGUUGAACCUUACCUAGAUGCCCAGGGAGACGUGAAAGCAUGUACGAAAACCCACAAUCAGUGUGAAACCCAAUACUUGCUUCUGGAGUGGCAAAAACCUGUAAUAAACAUGCUCAAAACUCAUCAUGGAAAGAAAGGAGAAUGAAAUAGAGAGAAGAAAUAGAGCUUCCUACAGCCAAAUGAUCAGGAAAGUAUCUAUGAAUCACAUUUGAUACUAACAGCUUUUUCUGUGACUACAGAAAACUUCAACGGGACCAUCAAAGAUGCACCUCCCCCCAUGGAAAUUCCUUGAACAAGAGCAACCUGCCAAAAAUAUCCACAAGCAGGAUUGGAAAUGCCAAAAUGUGGGCUUCACAAAUUCUUCCAGAACAAUAACUUCUUGCCAACAAAUGCUCCAUGAAAUUAAAGCAACCUGUGUUUUCUUAUAAGUGUGAAUGUGGUAGCAAAGCCAAUACAUCCUGUAGACCACUUCAAGACACGAAUCCCCUGACAAUUGACAAAGAGAAAUACUGAUGCAUAAGUUAACUUGAAAGUGAAAAUACAAUCUUGCAAGCAUUACAGUAUCAGCAGAAAAUGAUUACUCGAGGUCCUGCCAUCAUAAAACAUUCUCAAAUCCCCACCAGCAGAAAAGGCACGGCCAGCACCCUGUGUACACAAGCAGUUUUAUACAGUUUCUUUUCAGCAAAACUCCUUAACUUGAAGUCUUUCAGUCCUAUAUUUAAUUUAUCAAAUUCUCCUUGAGGCAACAUUUUGCUAAAUAGACUAUGAUUGUAGAGAGUCAACAUUUUGAAAGAUAAUACUUGCCUUAAUCAGUAUGAGUUCUGCAUUGUCAUCUUUUUCCCACUUUUCCAAGUACUGAGCAAGUAAAGACACCUAAAGCAAGAGAAUUUGAAUGACCCUCGAGUAGAAAAGGCAACGUAACAAUUCAGAAAUCAUGCUACUAGCAAUCAAGAAGCAUCCAACUUACCACCCUCGAUGAAAUCACAUUCAAUUGGCGAGGCCUGUUCAAGGUAAUCAAUCUCACGUGGCUCAUUUCUUCAGCAAGAACGACCUGAUCAUUAUUGAUAAAAUCAUAUUGCUAAUUAAAAUUCUCCGUUACAGACUUAAAUAUGGAGGGAAGUAAAAAAAUAAACUACCUCUUCAUCUUGCCUGUUUACUUGUUGAGCCAUCUAAAUUAUCCCUCAGCUAAGCCUCUCAAAGCAAGAAGAGCUACAAUUGCAAUAAAGAGUCAAAAAGGAAACAUUUAGGAAAAAGGGAGCAUAAACCAUGAAGAAACUUAAACAAAAUAUCAAACAUAUUAUCCGAAACAGAUCAAAUUUAUACUGCAGCCCAAACAAAACAAGGACAAGAAAAGUAGAAAGAAGGCAUUGUAGCUUCAAAGUUAAUCAUCCAACAACAGCAAAUAAAUUCAAGAACACUAAUUCUCUUAGAUUCUGCGCAAUUCAUAAUAAAAACCAUUUCUUGAAAUAAUCAGAAUCAUUUAGCUUACCUUUAGUAGCCUGUGGAGAUUAAGGCUCUGUUCUGUUCUACAAUUUCGAGAAGCGAAGCAGACUGCAGAACCCGGAUUUUAAAAUGGUGAAGAUUAAUGUAGGCCUUGAUUUUUAGCUAGCUCGGUUGGUUGGUAGCUACCCAACUAUUCUCAUCAGUGUCAAUUUUAUGUGUACCUAUUGUGGGAUCUUUCUUCCCCUUUUUCAACAGCUAAGUUUCUUUUCCUUCUGCUGCACCUACCACGUUUCCCCCACUUCCAUCCAUCCAUCCAUCCUACCUAUGUUGUUUUGCACUGUGCAAAAAUGAUUUUUUUUUUUUCACAUAGCUAAUUGGGUGAUCGAUGUGAUGUUAUCAGUAUACCAACCUAAUCAGAUGUAAUGAUGUGAGGUUUAGUUGAAUCAUGUGAUUUCCAAAACCACUCAUUCCUGUCUUUAUAUUCUAAUAAGGAAAAAACUAACAAAAAGUUUAUAACUUUACAGUUCAUGCUAACAGUGGCUUUUUUUUUUACCUCCAUAUGCAAUGAGACCUCAGCAAUUCUGCUGACUCGUUAUUAUUUUCAGUGUUUAAAAAGAAAAAAAAAUUAAAUUUAAUUUAAAAUUAAGCCUCAAUUUUUGCACAUAUAUAAUAUAUCAUCAUACAUCCUGACUUGCUUCUGUGUAUACUGACAGUCACAAUUAUAAGAAAGAUUAAUCGGUUUAUUUAUGUGAAUUGGAAUGACUUAAUACAUGCAAAAGAUUUAGAAUUUAUUUUAUAUAUAUAUAUUGACUUGCUAAUGAAAGAAGAUUAAUUUGUUUAUUUCUGUAAAUAAAUAAGAAUCUGAAAAAAAUGAAGGGAGGAGGGGGUUUGGGCCAUGCCAGCAGCUGCCGUGUGAUUGUUUGUGGUUGUGCUGGAUAUUCGAUGGGGCUAGACCUCAACACAGUAUUCUGACGUAGAGCCCAAUUAUGAAUUUUUGAUGUUAAACCACAACUGUAAGCUUUGCUAUUGUGGACCGGUGAGAUUGAGUACACACAUUUUCUUCUUCUUUGAAUACAUAUAUUAACGGCCUCGCUGGGUUGAUCUGCUGGUGAAAGUAGCCUCCUUAGGUGAGUUUCACCUGGAUUUGAUCCCGGGCAGCAAUUCAGUUGUUAUCUUCUUCAGCAUCGGUCGGGCCCGCUCUGCUGGAGCGCUGUGAAAUUAGUCGGAUGUAGACCCGGAUACCCACAAUAAUGAAAAAAAAUACAUAUAUUAACGAGUUUUACAGUAGAACAGUUAACCAUUAUUCGGUUAAGUCACUUCAGAAACCAAAAGAGCCUGCUUUAAGGCUCUGCUUUCCUUGGUCUACAUUCUAAUAUUCAGGAUUUCCUAAAAAAAUUGGGUACAUAAAUACCAGUUUGGAUCGAUGGUGAUUCAUCGGACUCUCCUUAAUCUGUUUAGGUCCCCCUUCCUCUAGUGUUGAAAAAAAAAAAAAAGAAAAAAAAAUAGUCACUUCAGAAAAUUUUUCCUUCAUCUCCCGCUCACAUUUGGGAGGAUUUCAAAUCAUCCUUAGCUCUCUCAAUUCAAACUAAACUUUAUACAUUUUGGUUUAGCACAUGUACGUCUUUAUUUAUUUAUUUACUCCCCCACCCAUCCUCACAUCCUUUCUGUCUCCAAUUGUCAAGACUCAUACCUUGCGUAUCUAUCUGACAGUAGCAGCAGGCAGGAAGAACUCUAAGAGCUCUCUCCGCUGUCCGCCUUAGCACAUAUGCUUCUUUCAGAACAACAACAAGAAUCCUAUCUGCUGCAAGUGUGGUCGAGAAAAUUCUUAAUUUGUGAUGAAAAACAAAAGUUAUACUACAAAGGGGGUGAUUAGUGAAGCAGCUUUCACAAAUGUGAUCUUCGCAUUUGUGAAAUGCGAGUUCAAGUACCUCGCAUUUCACAAAUGCGAGGUAGGUGCUUUUAAAAAAAAAGAAAAACAAGCUACGGUUCUUCAGUUGAGAGCUCAAGAGCUGGCAUAUACAAAAUGCGAGCUUGUUUCCUCGCAUUUAAGAAAUGCGAAGUACUCAAGCUUUGUUGACCGAAAAUUGGAUUCUGACCGCAAUUGUCUAAACUCAAAGCUUCACCUGUUGAAGCAUCAGUUCAACCCGCUUCAGCCUCCAAGACACGCUUCGGUUUCCCGCUUCAGCUCAAUUUCGAAUCUCAUUUCUCAGCUGGUACCCAUCAAUUCAUCGCAGCUGGGUUUUGGUUGUCCCUUUGUCCGUCUAUUUUCGUUUCAUCUUCGCCGCUUCACCACACUCUUCGCCGCCGCUGCAUUUCUCAGCUGCUACCCAGCUCAGAUUAUACCAGGUUUGUUUAUCCUUGUUCCCUUUUUUUGUUUAAGUUAUGUUGUUGUUGAUUACUGGUUUUUGGUUGCCCUUCCGUCCCGUCGGCCCUCUGUAUAAUGAAUAUGUACUGUUGUAAUUUUUGGGCGUAUGAUCCGAGGUCGCAUCUAUGAAACCCAGAAGGAUCCGACCUCGGAUUGUAUGAAACGCCAAAAAUUAAAACCGGGGAUCCGAGCUCGGAUCCUACAAGUUCCUGUUGGAUCCGAGACCUCGGAUAAACUUCUGUUAUAGUUGAUCCGAGCCAUGUCGGAUCCGAGGACUUUAUGAACAGAUACGGCCUCGGAUCUAUUUAGGUGUUGGUACUAAACAGCUAAAUUCCAGUACUUCACUGCUAAAUUCCACCAAAGGUCUAAGUAAAAGCCUUUUUGUUUUGGUAUUAUCUGAAAACUGGAGUAAAGUAAAAAAAAAAAGCCCUCGGUCUUGAAGUUCGACAGCCUAUGUAAUGGUUCCUUCUGUCACUUAAUUCAGUAAUUGAACCAUGCCAUUGUGGAGUUGUAUUAUAAUCUGAUAUUGAAGCAUGUAGAAAGUUUCCCUUGCUUCAAGUACUUUCAUUUGGUUCAUUGGGACGAUAUUUUGACACGAUUGGUUACUUGGUGAAGUGAAGUGAGAAUUUGACAGAAUCUUCCAAAACAUGUUUUUCAGUUGUUGAACACAUCUGCUUGUUUGUCUUGCUAGGUUAGUAUAACAGGGUAACAUAGAUUUAAUAAGCAUGACUCGUUCAAUAAUAAUCUCUGGCUACCAUUUGUCAUAGUUGCCGGUCUUUCAAUCUUUGGCUGUUAUAGGUAAACACUUAAUCCUAUAAUUAGAAAACUUUAUUAACCAAAGUGCAGUGACACAAAGAUUGUAUGAUGAAACAUGAUUUGAUUUUUUCUGUACAGGAAGGUUCUUUUCUUUCUUUAUCCAAAACUUUUCGUGUAUAAGACAAAAUGUUUAUACAUAUGCGGUUUCUGUCGUGCAGUUUAUUUUCUUUUUAAUGGACUGACUAUAACCAUUACUUGCCAAUUGUCGAUAUGAAAAUCAUGCUAUAUAUAUCAGAUUCAAGCCAUAGUUAAAUUAGUGGGCAUCAAAAGUGAGGGGGUUCCAAUUUCAUACUACAGAAUUUUUUAAUAUGUCAAGAUACAACUUUUGCACCAGUCCGGCCAGUCUGAUCUUUGCAAUUCUAAUACUUCUAUUGGCUAUUGGAUUCUCUAUGAUGCUUUUCACGUAUAGAAACAAUAAGCAGCCGGAGGCCUUUGUGUAAAUUGUGUUUGACAAAUUUGCAAUUUGAUGACGAAUUUAAAAAAAUCCAUGCGACAAGGGUGUUUUAUGUGAGGACUCGUAAAAUUUACUUAUUUAAUCUCCUAUUUCUAGCUUAUUUAAUUAUUUAUUUGGUCUUUUACUCCGAAUAUUAUUUUCUAAGCUCUUGAGACCUAAUUACAUGGAAAUAUAGUUUCAUUAUAUUUUUAAAAUGACUUGUUUCAAAAAUUAAUUUCCGAAAGCCCGAUAAGUGAAAUAGUGCACGUGCAUUUGGAACGAUAGCCGAUUUGAGGAUACACUGAGCUCAGAAAAAUUGGAGAUACGUGCCUUAGUCUUAAAAUAGGAAUUUUAAUGUUUAAAUACUCAAGUGGUAGUUAUUAGUACUUUCGUUAUAAGAAUUUCUCGGAAGUUUCGCGUUAUUGCGCUUAAAUUGGAGAUACGCGUUUUCACACGCGCAAUUUAAAUUGAGGAACUUUAGACCCUUAUUUUGGGACAAUUAAGAGUGAAUAAUAUUUAUAUGAAUAUAAAUGCAUUAGAAGUUUAGUACACUAGUGAAACAAACGCGAGAGGAAUCGAGCACAAAACGCGCGCGUGCGCGCACUUUUUGCGGUUGACUUUUGUGCACCCAAUCGUUAGUCAUUAAGCUUCCUUUGGAAGCCUCAUUUCAGACCACACUCUCUCUCUUGCUCCCUCAUUUGGCCGGCUAACAAAGGAGAAAAACAACUCAAAUUCCAUCCAAAUUUCUUCACCAAAUCUUCUCCAUUUCACUUCAAAUUUCAACCACUCUUAGCUAAUUACUUGGAGAUUACAUCAAGCUAAGAAAGAGGGCUGCUAUCCACGGUUUUCUUGAGCAUCUAGGGGGCCGAAAUUCUGUCCUAGUUCAUCAAGAGAGGUAAUGGACGAUCAACUCCUUGAAUCUUAGCUUACGGAAGCUCUAUUACACGUAUAAACUCUUGCAUGCAUGUGGGUGGUCUUGUUUAUGGUGGAUUUGUGUUGUGUGGGCUCUAUGAACUCCCACUUUUGAUGGAAGGACUGAUUUGAUGUUGGAUGAUGAAAUUAAUGGUGGUUUAGUGCUUAUAUUAGUAGAUUAAUGUUGUAUUGUUGGUAGAAAAUCAAAGGAGGUGCUUGGAGCAAAAGUGACCGUUUUACCCCUGCCUUGUCCGACCACUUUUGUGCAAAUUUUGAGGUUCUAAUGACUUGAUUAUGUUGUUUACAUGUUAUUGUGAGUGUGUACAAAAUUUCAUUGAAAAAUAACAUGAUUUGGUUGGUCAAAUGAGUUGAUUUCCAAAGUUAGCAAAACUGGAAAAUGAAUCCCGUAUUGCCCAGGCAGUCAUUUUGUAUCGGCUAUAACUCUUUACUCCGAUGUCGAAAUCAAGUGCCGUUUGCGGCAUUGGAAACUAGACAUUCCUAGCUUUCCAUCGGUACCAAUUUCACAUUCUGGUUCCACUUGAGUGAGCCACACCAUUCGAUUGAAUAUCACUGUCCUGUUUCGUUGCUCUCCAGGAGACAGGACAGAAAUUGCUUCUUGAUGCUCAAAAACGAGCUAUUUGUGAAUGAAAUUUGAAAAUGGUUUCUUCUGAGAAAAUUCAGCUUUAGAAGAGAGCUUUCCAACGCCAUCAACCACGCCCAAUUCCAAGUUGAAUGGAGUGAGUUGUGGCCAAAGUUUGAAACUGCUACAGUGAUAGAAUUUUCCACUUGGACAGAUUUGUAACUAACAAUGAUUUGGGACUUGUUGUUUUGGAAAAUUUGAUGUCCAACACCUACCAAACUUUAGAUUAGAUGUUCCUUGGACUUUGUUUUACAAAUAAACCAGAUUUGGGUUGGUUGCUUUGGACAAAAUAUUUAAAAAGGAAAGAAGAGCUAGAAGACAGUUUUACCUUGGGAAAUUUCCUGAACUUUGAUGGUUUAGUUAACUACCUUCCCGUGUGAAUUUUCAAAUGAAAUUUGAUAGAAGAGUAAUCCUCAUAUGGAGGUUUGAUUAUACAAAAUUUGGUAAUAUUCUAAGACCAUUUUGAUAUGCAAAUGAUGUCACAAAAUUCGCUCAUCGAAUCUGGAAAACUUUUCGUUUUCUCUUAGCCAAAUGGUCAAAUCUGAUUUGGAGAGUUUUAUUUCUAGAAUUUGGAUGUCAAUGGUCUUUAAAUUGCUCAGUGGAUGUUUAUGAACUCUUGGUUUCAAUAAUGGAGAGAUUUGAAACUGAUUUCAUGGUACAAAAGUUUGUAAACAAAAGAAAAGUGAGAAGGUAGUUUAGCCUUGAAACUCUUCAUAAACUUUGGUUGUUUUAAUGACUACCUUACCGUGAGAGUUUUUGUACGAAACUUAGUAGAAAUAUUGUUCACACAUGGAAGAUUUAGUGUACCAAGUUUGAUGUAUUUCUAAUGCCAACUUGAUGACCAAAUGAUAUUUCGAAUCUAGUUUUAAACCUGGAAAAUAGCCCAACAGUCUUAACUUUUUCAGCAACUUGGAGGUACUAUAUCUUGGUGCUCGAAACUACGUUUCUCGUUCCGCUUGUUUUGUUAUACUCUUGGAUUGCAACACUAAUUGAUUUCCAAAUUUCAAAGGUUAGUUCAAAACAAGUGAAUUUUGCCGAAUUUCUAAAGUUGGCCAAAAACCAACUUAAAUCUGUCUUGGUAAUUCAAGUUACCAACUUUGAGCCAAAAUUUGAGUGCCUUUCACUUGCAUUCGUGGAAAAAUGUCUUCUAAGAACUUUUAGUACUUUGAAAGAGGAUUCCAACAGUACCAAGUUUUCCAAUUUUGGACUUGUAGAAAAUGAAAUAUGAUUUUUCAAAGAUUGCUUGUUAAAUCUGAAAUUUUCUAAGGCAACUAAGGGUCUCGAACUCUCCAUUUUCUUUCAAUGUCAUUUGAUCGUUUUACAUUUGAUUUCAAAGAUGGAAAUCAGAUUUGUCUUGUAUUUUAAAACCCACUUUUGAACCUCGAGUUACACGAACUCUUAGACUCGUCUCUGCGUUAAUUUCUUAGAUUGUACUAGUGUACAAUUUUCCUCGAUAAUUAGAAUGAUUUUGAGUGGUAGUUGAUUAUUGUUUGCUCAGGCACUCGAGGGAAUCUCCCAGAGGAACUCGGAGCGGACGCCUAAACGCUUGUUUGAGAACUACUCGCUUGUUUUGACUAGGUGAGUGUUCCAUAUAGGAAUAUGUAAUUGAAUAAGUCUAGGACAUGCUUAUUUCAUGAUUAUUAAGUGUUAAGUACUAUGUGUUAAGUAUUUACCAUACUCAUGCCUAUUUAAGGAAUGUAUACUUGCAUUGUAUAUCUACAUGAAUUGGUUAAAUGAUUAACCAUAUCAAAUGACCAUAUAAACUCGAUACAUGCUUAACUUGCUAGAUUGCUAGCUUAGCCUACUCGAUUUUGAAAAAUGGAGUCGAGUGUAUACUUUAUCGCACUCGUUCUCCUUUGAGAUGAAUAACUCAUGCUUGGAAAUGCUCGAAUAACAUGACUUGGUAUGCUAUGGUUGCAUACGUCGUUGGAGUGAAUCUCCUCGACUCUCACAUGGUAAAAAUGGGAUAACGGCCAAUGAUGGCCUAUUAAUAUGGCAAAUGCCUGUCAAUUAACCGUCACUACUCAACCGUUAACCGUCAACCGUUAAUCGUUAACCGUUAACCGUUAACCGUGAACCGUUUACCAACCCACAUGACUACCUGAUUACUUGACUAUUUGCUCACAUGAUUUUCAAUCUGCAUGACUAUUUGAUAUCCGUGAAUUACAUGCUCCCCUGAAAUCAACUUGUAUUGCUUACGUGCUUACGUGCUAAGUAUCCACUUGAUUACUUGAUUAUCAUGAAUCACAUGUUAUAUGAAGCUGUCCAUCAUUGUUAGGCGAGUGUGUACUUUACCUCACUUGACCUACUCAAAUGAUGAAUUUUACCUUUUGUCGAAUUACUUGGUUACCUAUGCAUGUUGUAAGCUCUAAGCUGAACUUGGGCCCUGCCCUUGGUUACUGACCUACUCGAGCCAAGACUGGGCUCGGUCGGGUAGGUUGGAACCCUGGGCCACCGUUUCGGUAUACUCGAGUAUUACCACUGGAGGGAUAAGGCGAUGGCCAGACCGUACCGUGGGGAUCAGAAGUCAUAAGGUGCAGAUGACCGACAGAGUUCCACUGGAACACCGUAUCCUACCGUAUAUGUUUACCUUGUAUCAUGAUAAUUGUUUCAUGCUAAAAUGUCAACAUGAAAUCCUGAACUAUGCCUGUGAUAGGCUCCAUACCUGUUACCUGACCAAUGUACUUAUAUCAUGAUACCUGUCUCAUGAUAAAUGUCUCAAAUUACUCGUACAAUGAUUAUCACCUCAUGAUAACACGCCAUUGUGUAACAUUGAACCAUGCAUAUGAUAUGCCCAACUUACUUGAUUUAUUUGAACUGUUAGAGUGUAUUGGAACCUCACUGGGCUGUGUAGCUCAUCCCACGUUGUGGUUUUCUUUUACAGGGUUCGAGACCAAGGGUGCUCGUGAGUAGUACUAGAUUGUUUUCUUUUGAAAAUUUUAAGUUAUAUUAUAACGGAUGGCUAUUGUACCCUUUUCCGUUGGGUUGUAUUUAAGCUUGGAAGCUGCAUAAUUGUAAGUGUGAGAUAUUUGGAGUACUUUAAUUAUGUAUUGAAGUUACUUAAAGUAUUUCGAGAUUUUGAAUGAUGGAUUGUAGUGAGUGUUGUAUUUAAGCUUGGAAGCUGCAUAAUUGUAAGUGUGAGAUAUUUGGAGUACUUUAAUUAUAUAUUGAAGUUACUUAAAGUAUUUCGAGCUUUUGAAUGAUGGAUUGUAGUGAGUCCUGGCGAGAGAUGGGCAGGCGUCCCGCGGAUACCCUUUGGUUCGCCUUAGGGAGAAGUGGGGGCGUUACAGUUGGUAUCAUAGCUUAGGUUUCAGAUUUUGUAGUGUAUCCUAGGAUUAAAUGUUUAGGAUGCCGGACUGUGGGACUAUUCUGAAAGUUAAAUGAUUGCUUGUAGUGAUGAAAUUUAGAGCCACUUCACGUGGUCUCUACAGAGGAGUAAGAUAGGGCCAAGUGGUGUUAUGGUCCUUACUAUGUGAUUGAGUAAAGACUUAAGUGCCCUUCUAGAAAUGUAAGUUGUGAAUCAUGAAUGUUAUAGGUUGUAAAACCUUUAUCUUGAUGAUUGGAGGGAAUUUGAUAUGUAUGUUGGGUAGGAAUCUCGAAUGUGGUGAUUUACUCUUGGGACCGGCCGGCUCGAGAUGUGAAUUAUCCUAUUUUGGAUUCUUGAACCCGAGUACUUGGGAGUGGAAAGCAACCAUAGGGACUUUAUAUCUCCAUUUGUGGGGAAUAAGAAUGAAUCGAUAUUUCAUGUGAAUGGUUACAGGAAACCAAUAAUUGUUUGGUUAACAUGGUACAAUAAUUAAGAGUGGAAGAUGGAAAAUAUCGUAACCCAAAAGAUCUUUGUGUUGGGAUUGAAAUCGAGCAUGUUAGGGAACGAGAAUCGUCUAGUUCCAAUUAAUCUAGUGAAUCUCUACUGGUGAUCUUUCAUAGUGAGACGAUGAGGGUAGAACUUAAGAGUUGCGCCUUGGAGAUGAAUGUACUUGUGAUAAUCACUUGUUUAUUUUUGUUAUUGACUUUGACUUGGCAUGAACUUUACUUGGCCAUAAUUUGUGUUAUGAUUUAAUGAACUCUAGUUUGUGUUUACUUGCAUAGUGAUAAUGUUAUUUGUGAAAGUGUCUUCAUCCUCUUUAAAUGUUGCUACUGGUAUAUGAGUAUAGUUCAAUUUUAACUAAGUGUAAGGGUUAUGCAUGUGCGUAUAGAUUAGUUGUGGACAUGGAAACUAGAGGACAACGAAAGGGACGUCAACCUAGACAACCCCGAAAUGAAAGAGUAGCUAAUGGGUCCGAUAUCGAUCAAAACGUUGAGCUAAGUGCUGGGAGAGGAAAUGACCAGAUAAGACAAGUUUUAACUCGCAUGACGGAUAUCCUAGAGCUCUUGGUAGCUCAACAAGGUCAAGGUGUUGGACAAGGAAACCAACGUGGAAACCAAGAGAUAGGGGAGGAUCGAGCUUUAGAGCGGUUUCAGAAAUUCUCUCCGCCCAAGUUUGCUGGAGGGCCUGAUCCAGAGGUGGCUGAGAAUUGGUUAGAAAAUAUAAGAAAUAUAUUCGAUGCAUUGGAUUACACAGAGGAGAGACAAGUCACAUUUGCUGUAUUUCAACUUGAAGGAGCAGCCCGAGCAUGGUGGAAUGUUAUAAGAAAUAAGUGGGAAAGAGAUCAAACUCCGAGAAUUUGGAUAAACUUCGUGCGUGAAUUUAAUGAGAAAUUUCUUCCUCCACUUGUCCAAGAAAAGAGAGAAGAUGAUUUUAUAAAGCUUCGUCAAGGAACUUUAAACGUAGCUGAGUAUGAAACACGCUUUACGAAGUUAUCUACAUAUGCCCCAGAAUUGGUGGCUACUGAACGGAAGAGAAUAAGACGGUUUAUCCAAGGAUUAGAUUUGGAAAUCCAAGAUGCCCUUGCCGCAGCACAGGUUGAAACAUUUAGUGACGCUCUUGAAAAAGCGCAAAGGGUAGAAAGCACAAAAUCUCAACUGAGAGCUUUCAAAAAAAGGAAAAGAGAUACAUCUGACAGUACACUAGGAAAAAAUGGACCACCGCCCAAAGUUAGAAAAGAAGUGGAUGAAGUAGGACUGUCACUUCCUGCACCACUCAUGAUAAAGGAACCAAAAGGAACUAUGUCACGAGGGACUUCAGUAGGACAAACACGACCAAAGAAAACCUCGCAAGCAAGUCAGGUCACAACACCUCGUCCGACUUGUGGAUAUUGUGGAAGGACGAAUCACACUGAAGAAAACUGUUGGUUAAAGGGACGAAAGUGUAUGGGAUGUGGGAGUACCAAUCAUAAAGUUAAUGACUGUCCAAGGAGGUAUCCACGAGAAACUACUGCUCAACAAGGAAAUGGAACUGCCCCUCGACAAGUCAAUGGAAGGAGAAACCGACCAAUGGCAUCUGAAAGAACGCAUGACAUGAACACACCACACGGUUUAGAGUUGUCUGAAAUUACAGAAGGUAUGAAUUUCGAGGACGAAAUUCUUUUAAGGAGGGGAGGUUGUGAGGACUCGUAAAAUUUACUUAUUUAAUCUCCUAUUUCUAGCUUAUUUAAUUAUUUAUUUGGUCUUUUACUCCGAAUAUUAUUUUCUAAGCUCUUGAGACCUAAUUACAUGGAAAUAUAGUUUCAUUAUAUUUUUAAAAUGACUUGUUUCAAAAAUUAAUUUUCGGAAGCUCGUUUAGUGAAAAUAGCGAACACGUCUUUGGAAAUCUUGAUCGAUUGAGAGUACAAUAGGUUUGAAAUAUUGGAGACAUGUACAAUGGACCUAAAUUAGGCAUUUUAAUGUUUAAAUACUCAAGUGAUAGUUAUUAGUACUAUCGUUAUAAGAAUUUCUCGAAAGUUUCGCGUUAUUGCGCUUAAAUUGGAGAUACGCGUUUUCACACGCGCAAUUUAAAUUGAGGAACUUUAGACCCUUAUUUUGGGACAAUUAAGAGUGAAUAAUAUUUAUAUGAAUAUAAAUGCAUUAGAAGUUUAGUACACUAGUGAAACAAACGCGAGAGGAAUCGAGCACAAAACGCGCGCGUGCGCGCACUUUUUGCGGUUGACUUUUGUGCACCCAAUCCUUAGUCAUUAAGCUUCCUUUGGAAGCCUCAUUUCAGACCACACUCUCUCUCUUGCUCCCUCAUUUGGCCGGCUAACAAAGGAGAAAAACAACUCAAAUUCCAUCCAAAUUUCUUCACCAAAUCUUCUCCAUUUCACUUCAAAUUUCAACCACUCUUAGCUAAUUACUUGGAGAUUACAUCAAGCUAAGAAAGAGGGCUGCUAUCCACGGUUUUCUUGAGCAUCUAGGGGACCGAAAUUCUGUCCUAGUUCAUCAAGAGAGGUAAUGGACGAUCAACUCCUUGAAUCUUAGCUUACGGAAGCUCUAUUACACGUAUAAACUCUUGCAUGCAUGUGGGUGGUCUUGUUUAUGGUGGAUUUGUGUUGUGUGGGCUCUAUGAACUCCCACUUUUGAUGGAAGGACUGAUUUGAUGUUGGAUGAUGAAAUUAAUGGUGGUUUAGUGCUUAUAUUAGUAGAUUAAUGUUGUAUUGUUGGUAGAAAAUCAAAGGAGGUGCUUGGAGCAAAAGUGACCGUUUUACCCCUGCCUUGUCCGACCACUUUUGUGCAAAUUUUGAGGUUCUAAUGACUUGAUUAUGUUGUUUACAUGUUAUUGUGAGUGUGUACAAAAUUUCAUUGAAAAAUAACAUGAUUUGGUUGGUCAAAUGAGUUGAUUUCCAAAGUUAGCAAAACUGGAAAAUGAAUCCCGUAUUGCCCAGGCAGUCAUUUUGUAUCGGCUAUAACUCUUUACUCCGAUGUCGAAAUCAAGUGCCGUUUGCGGCAUUGGAAACUAGACAUUCCUAGCUUUCCAUCGGUACCAAUUUCACAUUCUGGUUCCACUUGAGUGAGCCACACCAUUCGAUUGAAUAUCACUGUCCUGUUUCGUUGCUCUCCAGGAGACAGGACAGAAAUUGCUUCUUGAUGCUCAAAAACGAGCUAUUUGUGAAUGAAAUUUGAAAAUGGUUUCUUCUGAGAAAAUUCAGCUUUAGAAGAGAGCUUUCCAACGCCAUCAACCACGCCCAAUUCCAAGUUGAAUGGAGUGAGUUGUGGCCAAAGUUUGAAACUGCUACAGUGAUAGAAUUUUCCACUUGGACAGAUUUGUAACUAACAAUGAUUUGGGACUUGUUGUUUUGGAAAAUUUGAUGUCCAACACCUACCAAACUUUAGAUUAGAUGUUCCUUGGACUUUGUUUUACAAAUAAACCAGAUUUGGGUUGGUUGCUUUGGACAAAAUAUUUAAAAAGGAAAGAAGAGCUAGAAGACAGUUUUACCUUGGGAAAUUUCCUGAACUUUGAUGGUUUAGUUAACUACCUUCCCGUGUGAAUUUUCAAAUGAAAUUUGAUAGAAGAGUAAUCCUCAUAUGGAGGUUUGAUUAUACAAAAUUUGGUAAUAUUCUAAGACCAUUUUGAUAUGCAAAUGAUGUCACAAAAUUCGCUCAUCGAAUCUGGAAAACUUUUCGUUUUCUCUUAGCCAAAUGGUCAAAUCUGAUUUGGAGAGUUUUAUUUCUAGAAUUUGGAUGUCAAUGGUCUUUAAAUUGCUCAGUGGAUGUUUAUGAACUCUUGGUUUCAAUAAUGGAGAGAUUUGAAACUGAUUUCAUGGUACAAAAGUUUGUAAACAAAAGAAAAGUGAGAAGGUAGUUUAGCCUUGAAACUCUUCAUAAACUUUGGUUGUUUUAAUGACUACCUUACCGUGAGAGUUUUUGUACGAAACUUAGUAGAAAUAUUGUUCACACAUGGAAGAUUUAGUGUACCAAGUUUGAUGUAUUUCUAAUGCCAACUUGAUGACCAAAUGAUAUUUCGAAUCUAGUUUUAAACCUGGAAAAUAGCCCAACAGUCUUAACUUUUUCAGCAACUUGGAGGUACUAUAUCUUGGUGCUCGAAACUACGUUUCUCGUUCCGCUUGUUUUGUUAUACUCUUGGAUUGCAACACUAAUUGAUUUCCAAAUUUCAAAGGUUAGUUCAAAACAAGUGAAUUUUGCCGAAUUUCUAAAGUUGGCCAAAAACCAACUUAAAUCUGUCUUGGUAAUUCAAGUUACCAACUUUGAGCCAAAAUUUGAGUGCCUUUCACUUGCAUUCGUGGAAAAAUGUCUUCUAAGAACUUUUAGUACUUUGAAAGAGGAUUCCAACAGUACCAAGUUUUCCAAUUUUGGACUUGUAGAAAAUGAAAUAUGAUUUUUCAAAGAUUGCUUGUUAAAUCUGAAAUUUUCUAAGGCAACUAAGGGUCUCGAACUCUCCAUUUUCUUUCAAUGUCAUUUGAUCGUUUUACAUUUGAUUUCAAAGAUGGAAAUCAGAUUUGUCUUGUAUUUUAAAACCCACUUUUGAACCUCGAGUUACACGAACUCUUAGACUCGUCUCUGCGUUAAUUUCUUAGAUUGUACUAGUGUACAAUUUUCCUCGAUAAUUAGAAUGAUUUUGAGUGGUAGUUGAUUAUUGUUUGCUCAGGCACUCGAGGGAAUCUCCCAGAGGAACUCGGAGCGGACGCCUAAACGCUUGUUUGAGAACUACUCGCUUGUUUUGACUAGGUGAGUGUUCCAUAUAGGAAUAUGUAAUUGAAUAAGUCUAGGACAUGCUUAUUUCAUGAUUAUUAAGUGUUAAGUACUAUGUGUUAAGUAUUUACCAUACUCAUGCCUAUUUAAGGAAUGUAUACUUGCAUUGUAUAUCUACAUGAAUUGGUUAAAUGAUUAACCAUAUCAAAUGACCAUAUAAACUCGAUACAUGCUUAACUUGCUAGAUUGCUAGCUUAGCCUACUCGAUUUUGAAAAAUGGAGUCGAGUGUAUACUUUAUCGCACUCGUUCUCCUUUGAGAUGAAUAACUCAUGCUUGGAAAUGCUCGAAUAACAUGACUUGGUAUGCUAUGGUUGCAUACGUCGUUGGAGUGAAUCUCCUCGACUCUCACAUGGUAAAAAUGGGAUAACGGCCAAUGAUGGCCUAUUAAUAUGGCAAAUGCCUGUCAAUUAACCGUCACUACUCAACCGUUAACCGUCAACCGUUAAUCGUUAACCGUUAACCGUUAACCGUGAACCGUUUACCAACCCACAUGACUACCUGAUUACUUGACUAUUUGCUCACAUGAUUUUCAAUCUGCAUGACUAUUUGAUAUCCGUGAAUUACAUGCUCCCCUGAAAUCAACUUGUAUUGCUUACGUGCUUACGUGCUAAGUAUCCACUUGAUUACUUGAUUAUCAUGAAUCACAUGUUAUAUGAAGCUGUCCAUCAUUGUUAGGCGAGUGUGUACUUUACCUCACUUGACCUACUCAAAUGAUGAAUUUUACCUUUUGUCGAAUUACUUGGUUACCUAUGCAUGUUGUAAGCUCUAAGCUGAACUUGGGCCCUGCCCUUGGUUACUGACCUACUCGAGCCAAGACUGGGCUCGGUCGGGUAGGUUGGAACCCUGGGCCACCGUUUCGGUAUACUCGAGUAUUACCACUGGAGGGAUAAGGCGAUGGCCAGACCGUACCGUGGGGAUCAGAAGUCAUAAGGUGCAGAUGACCGACAGAGUUCCACUGGAACACCGUAUCCUACCGUAUAUGUUUACCUUGUAUGUCUCAAAUUACUCGUACAAUGAUUAUCACCUCAUGAUAACACGCCAUUGUGUAACAUUGAACCAUGCAUAUGAUAUGCCCAACUUACUUGAUUUAUUUGAACUGUUAGAGUGUAUUGGAACCUCACUGGGCUGUGUAGCUCAUCCCACGUUGUGGUUUUCUUUUACAGGGUUCGAGACCAAGGGUGCUCGUGAGUAGUACUAGAUUGUUUUCUUUUGAAAAUUUUAAGUUAUAUUAUAACGGAUGGCUAUUGUACCCUUUUCCGUUGGGUUGUAUUUAAGCUUGGAAGCUGCAUAAUUGUAAGUGUGAGAUAUCUGGAGUACUUUAAUUAUGUAUUGAAGUUACUUAAAGUAUUUCGAGCUUUUGAAUGAUGGAUUGUAGUGAGUCCUGGCGAGAGCUGGGCAAGCGUCCCGCGGAUACCCUUUGGUUCGCCUUAGGGAGAAGUGGGGGCGUCACAAUUGGUAUCAGAGCUUAGGCUUCAGAUUUUGUAGUGUAUCCUAGGCUUAAAUGUUUAGGAUGCCGGACUGUGGGACUAUUCUGAAAGUUAAAUGAUUGCUUGUAGUGAUGAGAUUUAGAGCCACUUCACGUGGUCUCUACACAGGAGCAAGAUAGGGCCAAGUGGUGUUUGGUCCUUACUAUAUGAUUAAGUAAAGACUUAAGUGCCCUUCUAGAAAUGUAAGUUGUGAAUCAUGAAUGUUAUAGGUUGUAAAACCUUUAUCUUGAUAAUUGGAGGGAAUUUGAUAUGUAUGUUGGGUAGGAAUCUCGAAUGUGGUGAUUUACUCUUGGGACCGGCCGGCUCGAGAUGUGAAUUAUCCUAUUUUGGAUUCUUGAACCCGAGUACUUGGGAGUGGAAAGCAACCAUAGGGACUUUAUAUCUCCAUUUGUGGGGAAUAAGAAUGAAUCGAUAUUUCAUGUGAAUGGUUACAGGAAACCAAUAAUUGUUUGGUUAAGAUGGUACAAUAAUUAAGAGUGGAAGGAUGGAAAAUAUCGUAACCCAAAAGAUCUUUGUGUUGGGAUUGAAAUCGAGCAUGUUAGGGAACGAGAAUCGUCUAGUUCCAAUUAAUCUAGUGAAUCUCUACUGGUGAUCUUUCAUAGUGAGACGAUGAGGGUAGAACUUAAGAGUUGCGCCUUGGAGAUGAAUGUACUUGUGAUAAUCACUUGUUUAUUUUUGUUAUUGACUUUGACUUGGCAUGAACUUUACUUGGCCAUAAUUUGUGUUAUGAUUUAAUGAACUCUAGUUUGUGUUUACUUGCAUAGUGAUAAUGUUAUUUGUGAAAGUGUCUUCAUCCUCUUUAAAUGUUGCUACUGGUAUAUGAGUAUAGUUCAAUUUUAACUAAGUGUAAGGGUUAUGCAUGUGCGUAUAGAUUAGUUGUGGACAUGGAAACUAGAGGACAACGAAAGGGACGUCAACCUAGACAACCCCGAAAUGAAAGAGUAGCUAAUGGGUCCGAUAUCGAUCAAAACGUUGAGCUAAGUGCUGGGAGAGGAAAUGACCAGAUAAGACAAGUUUUAACUCGCAUGACGGAUAUCCUAGAGCUCUUGGUAGCUCAACAAGGUCAAGGUGUUGGACAAGGAAACCAACGUGGAAACCAAGAGAUAGGGGAGGAUCGAGCUUUAGAGCGGUUUCAGAAAUUCUCUCCGCCCAAGUUUGCUGGAGGGCCUGAUCCAGAGGUGGCUGAGAAUUGGUUAGAAAAUAUAAGAAAUAUAUUCGAUGCAUUGGAUUACACAGAGGAGAGACAAGUCACAUUUGCUGUAUUUCAACUUGAAGGAGCAGCCCGAGCAUGGUGGAAUGUUAUAAGAAAUAAGUGGGAAAGAGAUCAAACUCCGAGAAUUUGGAUAAACUUCGUGCGUGAAUUUAAUGAGAAAUUUCUUCCUCCACUUGUCCAAGAAAAGAGAGAAGAUGAUUUUAUAAAGCUUCGUCAAGGAACUUUAAACGUAGCUGAGUAUGAAACACGCUUUACGAAGUUAUCUACAUAUGCCCCAGAAUUGGUGGCUACUGAACGGAAGAGAAUAAGACGGUUUAUCCAAGGAUUAGAUUUGGAAAUCCAAGAUGCCCUUGCCGCAGCACAGGUUGAAACAUUUAGUGACGCUCUUGAAAAAGCGCAAAGGGUAGAAAGCACAAAAUCUCAACUGAGAGCUUUCAAAAAAAGGAAAAGAGAUACAUCUGACAGUACACUAGGAAAAAAUGGACCACCGCCCAAAGUUAGAAAAGAAGUGGAUGAAGUAGGACUGUCACUUCCUGCACCACUCAUGAUAAAGGAACCAAAAGGAACUAUGUCACGAGGGACUUCAGUAGGACAAACACGACCAAAGAAAACCUCGCAAGCAAGUCAGGUCACAACACCUCGUCCGACUUGUGGAUAUUGUGGAAGGACGAAUCACACUGAAGAAAACUGUUGGUUAAAGGGACGAAAGUGUAUGGGAUGUGGGAGUACCAAUCAUAAAGUUAAUGACUGUCCAAGGAGGUAUCCACGAGAAACUACUGCUCAACAAGGAAAUGGAACUGCCCCUCGACAAGUCAAUGGAAGGAGAAACCGACCAAUGGCAUCUGAAAGAACGCAUGACAUGAACACACCACACGGUUUAGAGUUGUCUGAAAUUACAGAAGGUAUGAAUUUCGAGGACGAAAUUCUUUUAAGGAGGGGAGGUUGUGAGGACUCGUAAAAUUUACUUAUUUAAUCUCCUAUUUCUAGCUUAUUUAAUUAUUUAUUUGGUCUUUUACUCCAAAUAUUAUUUUCUAAGCUCUUGAGACCUAAUUACAUGGAAAUAUAGUUUCAUUAUAUUUUUAAAAUGACUUGUUUCAAAAAUUAAUUUCCGAAAGCCCGAUAAGUGAAAUAGUGCACGUGCAUUUGGAACGAUAGCCGAUUUGAGGAUACACUGAGCUCAGAAAAAUUGGAGAUACGUGCCUUAGUCUUAAAAUAGGAAUUUUAAUGUUUAAAUACUCAAGUGGUAGUUAUUAGUACUAUCGUUAUAAGAAUUUCUCGGAAGUUUCGCGUUAUUGCGCUUAAAUUGGAGAUACGCGUUUUCACACGCGCAAUUUAAAUUGAGGAACUUUAGACCCUUAUUUUGGGACAAUUAAGAGUGAAUAAUAUUUAUAUGAAUAUAAAUGCAUUAGAAGUUUAGUACACUAGUGAAACAAACGCGAGAGGAAUCGAGCACAAAACGCGCGCGUGCGCGCACUUUUUGCGGUUGACUUUUGUGCACCCAAUCCUUAGUCAUUAAGCUUCCUUUGGAAGCCUCAUUUCAGACCACACUCUCUCUCUUGCUCCCUCAUUUGGCCGGCUAACAAAGGAGAAAAACAACUCAAAUUCCAUCCAAAUUUCUUCACCAAAUCUUCUCCAUUUCACUUCAAAUUUCAACCACUCUUAGCUAAUUACUUGGAGAUUACAUCAAGCUAAGAAAGAGGGCUGCUAUCCACGGUUUUCUUGAGCAUCUAGGGGACCGAAAUUCUGUCCUAGUUCAUCAAGAGAGGUAAUGGACGAUCAACUCCUUGAAUCUUAGCUUACGGAAGCUCUAUUACACGUAUAAACUCUUGCAUGCAUGUGGGUGGUCUUGUUUAUGGUGGAUUUGUGUUGUGUGGGCUCUAUGAACUCCCACUUUUGAUGGAAGGACUGAUUUGAUGUUGGAUGAUGAAAUUAAUGGUGGUUUAGUGCUUAUAUUAGUAGAUUAAUGUUGUAUUGUUGGUAGAAAAUCAAAGGAGGUGCUUGGAGCAAAAGUGACCGUUUUACCCCUGCCUUGUCCGACCACUUUUGUGCAAAUUUUGAGGUUCUAAUGACUUGAUUAUGUUGUUUACAUGUUAUUGUGAGUGUGUACAAAAUUUCAUUGAAAAAUAACAUGAUUUGGUUGGUCAAAUGAGUUGAUUUCCAAAGUUAGCAAAACUGGAAAAUGAAUCCCGUAUUGCCCAGGCAGUCAUUUUGUAUCGGCUAUAACUCUUUACUCCGAUGUCGAAAUCAAGUGCCGUUUGCGGCAUUGGAAACUAGACAUUCCUAGCUUUCCAUCGGUACCAAUUUCACAUUCUGGUUCCACUUGAGUGAGCCACACCAUUCGAUUGAAUAUCACUGUCCUGUUUCGUUGCUCUCCAGGAGACAGGACAGAAAUUGCUUCUUGAUGCUCAAAAACGAGCUAUUUGUGAAUGAAAUUUGAAAAUGGUUUCUUCUGAGAAAAUUCAGCUUUAGAAGAGAGCUUUCCAACGCCAUCAACCACGCCCAAUUCCAAGUUGAAUGGAGUGAGUUGUGGCCAAAGUUUGAAACUGCUACAGUGAUAGAAUUUUCCACUUGGACAGAUUUGUAACUAACAAUGAUUUGGGACUUGUUGUUUUGGAAAAUUUGAUGUCCAACACCUACCAAACUUUAGAUUAGAUGUUCCUUGGACUUUGUUUUACAAAUAAACCAGAUUUGGGUUGGUUGCUUUGGACAAAAUAUUUAAAAAGGAAAGAAGAGCUAGAAGACAGUUUUACCUUGGGAAAUUUCCUGAACUUUGAUGGUUUAGUUAACUACCUUCCCGUGUGAAUUUUCAAAUGAAAUUUGAUAGAAGAGUAAUCCUCAUAUGGAGGUUUGAUUAUACAAAAUUUGGUAAUAUUCUAAGACCAUUUUGAUAUGCAAAUGAUGUCACAAAAUUCGCUCAUCGAAUCUGGAAAACUUUUCGUUUUCUCUUAGCCAAAUGGUCAAAUCUGAUUUGGAGAGUUUUAUUUCUAGAAUUUGGAUGUCAAUGGUCUUUAAAUUGCUCAGUGGAUGUUUAUGAACUCUUGGUUUCAAUAAUGGAGAGAUUUGAAACUGAUUUCAUGGUACAAAAGUUUGUAAACAAAAGAAAAGUGAGAAGGUAGUUUAGCCUUGAAACUCUUCAUAAACUUUGGUUGUUUUAAUGACUACCUUACCGUGAGAGUUUUUGUACGAAACUUAGUAGAAAUAUUGUUCACACAUGGAAGAUUUAGUGUACCAAGUUUGAUGUAUUUCUAAUGCCAACUUGAUGACCAAAUGAUAUUUCGAAUCUAGUUUUAAACCUGGAAAAUAGCCCAACAGUCUUAACUUUUUCAGCAACUUGGAGGUACUAUAUCUUGGUGCUCGAAACUACGUUUCUCGUUCCGCUUGUUUUGUUAUACUCUUGGAUUGCAACACUAAUUGAUUUCCAAAUUUCAAAGGUUAGUUCAAAACAAGUGAAUUUUGCCGAAUUUCUAAAGUUGGCCAAAAACCAACUUAAAUCUGUCUUGGUAAUUCAAGUUACCAACUUUGAGCCAAAAUUUGAGUGCCUUUCACUUGCAUUCGUGGAAAAAUGUCUUCUAAGAACUUUUAGUACUUUGAAAGAGGAUUCCAACAGUACCAAGUUUUCCAAUUUUGGACUUGUAGAAAAUGAAAUAUGAUUUUUCAAAGAUUGCUUGUUAAAUCUGAAAUUUUCUAAGGCAACUAAGGGUCUCGAACUCUCCAUUUUCUUUCAAUGUCAUUUGAUCGUUUUACAUUUGAUUUCAAAGAUGGAAAUCAGAUUUGUCUUGUAUUUUAAAACCCACUUUUGAACCUCGAGUUACACGAACUCUUAGACUCGUCUCUGCGUUAAUUUCUUAGAUUGUACUAGUGUACAAUUUUCCUCGAUAAUUAGAAUGAUUUUGAGUGGUAGUUGAUUAUUGUUUGCUCAGGCACUCGAGGGAAUCUCCCAGAGGAACUCGGAGCGGACGCCUAAACGCUUGUUUGAGAACUACUCGCUUGUUUUGACUAGGUGAGUGUUCCAUAUAGGAAUAUGUAAUUGAAUAAGUCUAGGACAUGCUUAUUUCAUGAUUAUUAAGUGUUAAGUACUAUGUGUUAAGUAUUUACCAUACUCAUGCCUAUUUAAGGAAUGUAUACUUGCAUUGUAUAUCUACAUGAAUUGGUUAAAUGAUUAACCAUAUCAAAUGACCAUAUAAACUCGAUACAUGCUUAACUUGCUAGAUUGCUAGCUUAGCCUACUCGAUUUUGAAAAAUGGAGUCGAGUGUAUACUUUAUCGCACUCGUUCUCCUUUGAGAUGAAUAACUCAUGCUUGGAAAUGCUCGAAUAACAUGACUUGGUAUGCUAUGGUUGCAUACGUCGUUGGAGUGAAUCUCCUCGACUCUCACAUGGUAAAAAUGGGAUAACGGCCAAUGAUGGCCUAUUAAUAUGGCAAAUGCCUGUCAAUUAACCGUCACUACUCAACCGUUAACCGUCAACCGUUAAUCGUUAACCGUUAACCGUUAACCGUGAACCGUUUACCAACCCACAUGACUACCUGAUUACUUGACUAUUUGCUCACAUGAUUUUCAAUCUGCAUGACUAUUUGAUAUCCGUGAAUUACAUGCUCCCCUGAAAUCAACUUGUAUUGCUUACGUGCUUACGUGCUAAGUAUCCACUUGAUUACUUGAUUAUCAUGAAUCACAUGUUAUAUGAAGCUGUCCAUCAUUGUUAGGCGAGUGUGUACUUUACCUCACUUGACCUACUCAAAUGAUGAAUUUUACCUUUUGUCGAAUUACUUGGUUACCUAUGCAUGUUGUAAGCUCUAAGCUGAACUUGGGCCCUGCCCUUGGUUACUGACCUACUCGAGCCAAGACUGGGCUCGGUCGGGUAGGUUGGAACCCUGGGCCACCGUUUCGGUAUACUCGAGUAUUACCACUGGAGGGAUAAGGCGAUGGCCAGACCGUACCGUGGGGAUCAGAAGUCAUAAGGUGCAGAUGACCGACAGAGUUCCACUGGAACACCGUAUCCUACCGUAUAUGUUUACCUUGUAUCAUGAUAAUUGUUUCAUGCUAAAAUGUCAACAUGAAAUCCUGAACUAUGCCUGUGAUAGGCUCCAUACCUGUUACCUGACCAAUGUACUUAUAUCAUGAUACCUGUCUCAUGAUAAAUGUCUCAAAUUACUCGUACAAUGAUUAUCACCUCAUGAUAACACGCCAUUGUGUAACAUUGAACCAUGCAUAUGAUAUGCCCAACUUACUUGAUUUAUUUGAACUGUUAGAGUGUAUUGGAACCUCACUGGGCUGUGUAGCUCAUCCCACGUUGUGGUUUUCUUUUACAGGGUUCGAGACCAAGGGUGCUCGUGAGUAGUACUAGAUUGUUUUCUUUUGAAAAUUUUAAGUUAUAUUAUAACGGAUGGCUAUUGUACCCUUUUCCGUUGGGUUGUAUUUAAGCUUGGAAGCUGCAUAAUUGUAAGUGUGAGAUAUUUGGAGAAGUACUUUAAUUAUGUAUUGAAGUUACUUAAAGUAUUUCGAGCUUUUGAAUGAUGGAUUGUAGUGAGUCCUGGCGAGAGUUGGGCAGGCGUCCCGCGGAUACCCUUUGGUUCGCCUUAGGGAGAAGUGGGGGCGUCACAUUUUAAGUAUAGACUAAUAUUACUUAAUUGGCCAAAUGCUUCCACAUACUUGAGUAAUUCAACUAAAUCGGUAACUGAAACGCCAUAAACAAGCUCAAUAGCUCUUCUUCUAUCAUACCAAGCUUUCAUAUAAGGAAUUUUAGCGUUCAAAUUUUUCGUCAUGGAGGAUAUUAUUUAGUUUUAACUUGACAGUCCUUAAAAACAAACCCCAUUUUUUGGAAGAGAACAACUCAUCCACAAUUCUUUUUUAAAAAAGAAAAGGUGAAUGUGAGGACUCACCUUUGUUGGGAUUUUUGGUAUUUUAUUUUUUGUGAAAACAUUAUGGUUGGAUUAAAUGUUGGGCGUUCAUCUGCAUUUUAUAGAAAAGUUGACAAAAAUGAUAAAAACAAGAAAAGACAAUCAUCAUGAUUUAGUCCUUGGCAUCAACAGAAAGGAAACAAAGGGUUUUACAAAGUAAGAACAAAUAAUGAGAUAAAUAUACACUCUUAAGUUGUUAAUAUGUGUGAAGGAAUUGGUAAGGAGCAUAAACUGAGAAAUGCGAAUAUAUGGGGGUCGCAUUUAAAAUGCUUGAACACCUCCCUUGUCGGAAUGAGACACCAAAGUAACCCCCUUGCGUGGACAUUUUUUUAUUUUCUAUAAGUAUGUUUUCUAUACCUAUGUUAUCUAGUUUACCAAUGCAUAUUUUGUUUGAAUUUGGGUGAAUAGAUCCAAAAAGGUAUAUCGGAACAAGCAAGAUCUACGGGAACGAGGUGGUUCAUUUGAACAAAUCCCUCAUUGCACCCCAGAUCCUCUGCUCCAGUACCUUAUCUUGGUUCUGUGUGAUCUCCAUCAUAUUCAUAUAGGUGCACUUCGAGUUUUCGACACAAGCCAGGAGAUUUGAAGAGGGUUUGAUUGGUACCACUAGGAAGUUGUCUGCACAAGUGCAUCUUCAGAACCUUCGGCAUAUCAUUGGGUAAGCCAUGUAGUUUUCAAGUACAUUUAAUUGUAGACUUGCACAUGUUCUAAUUUAUAAAACUUUGCUUGGAUUCAUGGAAAAUUUGAAUUCAUGAAUGUAAUGUGAGACCUUGUAUGAUAGUAUAUUUUUUAAGUGCAUGUUAUGGUGGUUGACAGUGGAGUAUACGAAAUUAUUGUUGUUUCACAUUCUACUGUGUACAUUAUAUUAUUAUUGCAGGCUUAAGGAAAAUUCGCAGUUGCUUGUCUUCAAUAAGAUGGUUAUUGUAUGUCAAAUUAUUCUACCGUAUUUGUAGUGCUGUAAAUUAUCCCAUAUUUGAUGUCUUGUUUGAAAAUCGAUGUGCCUAUGUUGGUUGGCAGGGAGUUUUCGCCCAGUUACAGGGGAGACUCUGUCAAAUUUUUUUUAAAAUAUUUUUUGGUGUUUUGGUUAGUGAUUGCCUUAAGAGUAUAAUAAGACAAAUUGGCUGCAUUAUGGACUCAAAAGGGGGGGUGCUUCUUUCCGUUAAAUAAAACAAGACAUUCUCGGAGAUAUUACCUACUAUUCAAUUUAAUUAGGAGUUGUUGAAUAACUUUUUGGCAUUUGGAUGAUGAUGAUGUAUAGGCGGUUAGAGGGAACAUUAACUUAAAAUAUUGACUAAAAAUUUGUAUACAAGACAAACUGGAAUCACAUUUGCUUGUACUACUACAAAUGCUCGUAUUUAUUUAUCUAUUUGGUGUAUCUAUUUGGAUGAAAACGUAAUGUGGGCUAUGCUAUUGUAUUGCAUUUUUCAGUGUGUAAUUCAGUGGUAAAUUUGGACCACAUAAUUAUGUGUUUGGAAAACUCAGUGGGUGACAGAAACACACAUGAAAAAUGACAUGCUGACUACAGCACACGAUUACUAACUUGUACCUUAAACGCACAUGCAUAAUGAUUAAAGUGACUUCUCCUUUGUAUCACACUUGAAACAGUAACAAUGGAUAGGGAUUGUUAUCUGAUGUAUACUCUUCCACCGCAUGAGCUAACUUAUUCCAAAAUAGGGAUUCUUUCCACACGUAUGUCUAUAGAAAGACCUCUGCGCGUGUCUCUUUAUUGGGGAGGUAAAAUACACUACGAAGAUGGGUCAAUUUGUUACUUGCCUCGUAUUUGCAACCGUACAUUCUCAUUACGAUGCAGGAUUGGAUAUGAUGAUUUGGUGGAUAGAAUCUAUGAAUAUAUGGGGGUCGAUAGGGGGCUGUUCAAGUUGAAUAUAUUUCUCCGCCAACCUUGUGGCCGGAGCUCUUAUAACGUGUCCCCAGUGGUUGAUGAUGAAACUCUUGCGAUAAUGUACGAUGUAUGGAAUGAAAUUGUUCCAUACACCGCAGAACUGUAUAUCGAGAAGGAUGAAAAAUUUCAAAAUCCUCGAGUCACCGGGACAUUCAUUUCACCAAAUACUAAUUUAGGUCCCAUGAUGUCGCUUGUCCAUGCAUGCAUGGAUCCGACAAGAUUUCAACCAAGUUCUAGUACAGCAGUACCUGAGACGGCAUCGGUAUCACAAUGGGCACAUGGAGAUUGUGGUAGGGACUCGUUAGAGCCACGUCUUACAUCAGGCUUAAGGACGCAAGUUGAAUCUGUUCAGGGCCUAGACUCGAUUCAAAGUUUUAGAAAUCCAGAAUCGCCGGAUCAUCUUGGUAGUUAUGGCUUGGAUUUCACCGCCGGUCCAAGCCAUUGCAACAGCCCCCUAGAUGAUGAUUUGGAGCAUGACGUGGAAGAUGUAGAGGAAUCUGAGUCGGCUGAUGUGUCAGGCAGUGACUCAGAUGGCGAAAUUGGACAACAUGGAGUCCACCUGGAUCUUGAGAACCAACAGCCUUUUGAUGCAUCUAGCAAUCCCUUGUAUGCUCCACGAGGAUUGAAAUUCUUCUCUAACCUUGGAAACAUAGAUGAGGACGAGUAUCUGACAGAUGACGAUGAGUUGCAGCGCAUUGUGACAUUUAGUGAGAAAAAUAAUAAUAUAAGGCUGCAUAUGAGAUUUGAGAGCAAACAACAGCUAAGCAGGGCUAUUAGAAUGUGGUCUAUCACUCAUAAUAGGGAGUUUAGGGUUGUUGAGAGCAAGAGAAACACCUGGGUUGCCAAAUGUAAAUCCGCAAUUGAAAGGACCCUCACCACUGCAAACGACUCAUCGGACCCUCCAUGCGACUGGUGUGUCCGAGCAGUGAAGAAAAAGACACACGGAUUGUGGCAAAUAACCAGGUGGGUGAACGAUCACAAUUGUGUGGGUGAUUUGAUGAGUAAUAGCAAUGCUAGUCUAACAUUUUCGGUUAUUGCUAGACACGUUGUUCAUAGCAUCGAAGACGAUCUUGGGUACAAAGUAAAGAACAUAGUCAGUGAUGUUAAAAAGGUGCUGAAGGUGGAUGUUUCUUAUAAAAAGGCUUGGUACGGCAGACGCAAAGCUAUUGAACUUGUUUUUGGUUCUUGGGAAACAAAUUUUGCCGAACUACCAAAAUAUCUUGACGAGCUUGUGAAGUCAAAUCAGGGAACUGUUAUCAGGUGGUUACACCAUUCUAAUAGUACGGAUCAUGUGAAGACAUUUAAGUAUGUGUUCUGGGCCUUUGAACCGGCUAUUGAUGCAUUUCACAUGUGUCGGCCGGUAAUAUGUGUUGACGACACUCAUUUGCGUGGGGAAUAUAAGGGCAAACUACUUGUUGCCGUGACACAGGAUGCCAACAACCACAUUAUUCCCAUAGCUUAUGCCAUAGUCGACGAGAAGACCAUUUCUAGUUGGUCUUGGUUCAUGGAGCAACUUAGAUACCACGUCGCCCGCGAUCGGUAUCCCAUUUGUGUCAUUUCAGAUCGGCAUCCCGGUAUUAUUCAUGCUAUGGCACAUUUUGACUAUUGGCAAGAAUCUUUGGCCUUUCAUAGGUUUUGCCUACGACACGUUAGGAGUAACCUAAUGACUCACUUCAAAGGUUUGAACCUUAGAAAGUUGUGUUGGGCAAUGGGAAGGGCCAGACAGUUGCGCAAGUGGAGGGCAUUCAAACGAGAAUUAAGGAGCACGUUUCCAGAUGCAUGGACCUAUUUGUCUAACAUUGAAACCGAGAAGUGGUGUCUAACUCAUGACGGUGGCCAUCGUUGGGGUAUUCUCACAACUAACAUGUCUGAAAGUUACAAUAAUGUACUUAGAGGAGCACGUCACUUGCUUAUCCGGGCUUGUAUUGAUAUGACUUUUCAUCGGACAGUAGAGUUGUUCAGAACAAGAAGGGAGGACGCCAGACAUUGCCGUAAUCCAUUUCCUCCAAAUAUUUGGCGAAAGUUUAAGAAUUCGGAUCAGAAAGCGGGAAGCCACCGGGUUGCUGAGUUCGAUGGCUCUUCCGGGGUGUACGAAGUGGUGACAGGCCGCCGUGUGGACGGUAAAGGGGGCAAUAUACAAACGGUCAAGUAUUUGGAAAAAUCUUGCUCUUGUGGUAAGUGGUAGUGCUACCGACUUCCCUGUUCCCACGUGUUGGCCGUGUGCAGGCAUCGCAGGGAUAAUCCGGGGGCGCUGGUAGAUCCGCAGUUUACAAAAAGGCGAUGGACAGUUCAGUAUUCAGGAAAGUUUAACCCUUUGCCACAUCCGGAUACUUGGCUCCAACCGGGUUGGGAGUUACAGGCAGAUCGCAGUAAAUAUGUUGCCCGUCGGGCGGGGAGGGUACGAACUAGAAGAAUUCGAAAUGAGAUGGACGAGAGAGAUCCGGAGGAACCAAGAAGGUGUACAAAUUGCCAACAGUCGGGCCACAAUAGAAGAAAUUGUCCUAAUUAUAGAGUUUGACAUCAUCCGAUUUAGGGAUACGAAGCAGUGUACUAAACGUUUGCUAUGUCAUUUUGUUGGAUUAUGGAAUUAAUAUGAUUUAUGACACGAUAUUCUGUUUAUCAGUACUUUGGCUCGUAAUAUUUCAGUGUCAUUUUUAGCAUCCCUAUAUUUAAAGUGUUGCAUUAGUUUUAGCAACUACCAGUCUACUAAUUGAAUGUAUAGUAGCCUUAUAUGUUACAUAAUGCAUUUGCAGCUAUUAUUUUUUGUAUGGCCGACAUUCCUACACAUGCAGCCUUGCAUCCGGGGCCAUUCGUGUAUGAUAUUAUCUCAACAGGCACUGCACACUGGGCACAUUCUAUAUUUCACGGCCACAUUGUAGGUGAGCAGCUUGAUGUCAGGCGAUGUGAUAGGCACUUUUGGGAGCAUACACCUAUCCCUGAGACCGUUCGACAGUAUAUUCGAUUGGUUGGCUUUGAAGGGGUGCUUGACUGUGGAUAUAUGAUGCUCGAUCAUGCUCUGAUCACUAGUUUGGUGGAGCGGUGCGGCCCGAGACGCAUACAUUUUAUCUCCCCGUUGGAGAGACUACGGUAACCUUGCAGGAUGUGGAGGUUCUGUGGGGUCUACUCAUAGACGGUCCUCCAGUUAUAGGGAUUGAUACUCCUCAUAGUGUUGAGGAGUGGAGAAAUUUAUGUGAGGAGUUGAUUGGAUUUUAUCCAGCGAUGUCAGAUUUUGACGGGCAGCGGCUCAAAUUAGGAUGUUUAGCUAGAGUAUUAGAUACAGAGUUGACACCUGAUGCUUCGGAUGUCCAAUGUAGACAGCGGGCCCGUGUAUACCUGCUCCUGCUAUUAGGCGGUCAUUUAUUAGCAGAUAAGUCCGGUAACAAAGUCCCCCUAUUGUAUAUGCCAUUACUACGAGAUUUGGAAACUGUUGGGUAAUAUAGUUGGGGAAGCGCGAUAUUAGCAACUCUGUAUCGAUCAUUGUGUAGCGCCACAUCUCCCUCUAGAUCGGCAAUUGCGGGACCAUUAGUUUUGCUUCAGAUACAUUAGUCUUUAGAUUAAACGUGUUAAACUUUAACUAGGUGAUGAUUAUACGGUCAAUGAAUACAUUCAAAUAUUAUAAAUUACAACUAUGGGCGUGGGAACGUAUACCAACAAUGCGCACUGAUCGUGUGCAACCGUUAGAGCACUACCCUGGUCCAUAUGGAGCUCGGUAUGUAUAUAUCAAAUAUAUUUCUGUAAUACUAAUACGAAUCAACUAUCUCCUUUAACACAUAUUGUUCUGGGCCAAUUCGUUCCCUCAGGUGGAAUGUUCAAUUUGAUGUACGCAGAGUGGCAAGACAUGUUGUAUCUGUAUUCCGAGAUCAGUUGACAGACUUACGUGCCCGAGAGGUACCCCAAUUCGUUCUCUUUUGAUGUCAUUAUUAUUGGUCUUUGCCGUUAUAUUUCAGUAAGAGGUUUAAAUUUAUAUAUAUAUGUUGGUUGUAUGGCAAAAAGAUUAUGCUUGAGUAUCGUCAAAAUGGUUGGAUUGGCAGGGAGUUUUCAUCCGGUUAUAGGGGAGGGGCUGGGAAGAUUUUUUAACUUUUAGAUGUAAAAACGAGAAUAACUGUUGAUAUGUAUUGUACGUAUGACGAAAUGGAAUAAGUAUUGGCUUUGCAGUUUAUAUGGCAGCCGUACUCGGACGAUAUUCUCGCAUCUCUGCCUGCAUAUUGUACUGCAGGACGCGGCAUUUGGAGAUCUGUCACGUAUCUCAUUUGUUGGGAAGUUGUCGAGCCACAUCUUCCGAAUCGAGUUAUGAGACAGUUCGGAUAUCAUCAGCCCCUGCCUGAUCUAAGAUUGACCGAUAAUCAACAGGCACUGCAUUCUCUUGAUCGUCGUGGCAAGGGGAAUCAAGACUGGAUAACUAGACAUGCAGCAUAUAUUGAUGUGUGGACUGAUCGGCCUAUGCAUGUGGAGGACGGUGCUGUAACUGAAGACCCUACCUAUCCGUCCGAUGAGUAUCGUCAAUGGUAUCGCGAGCGGACAGUGCUAUAUAUUUCAAAUCUUACUAGGCAUCCCGUUUAUCCGGAGGGCUUUCAGAGUGAUAGCGCCAUAGCACAAUAUUUGGGAAGUUUUCCUUACAAUUACUGAAUGAGAUCCUUCAAACAAACCCCAAGUUGUUAAGAUUUAACUCUAUUCUAGCCGACUCAUCCCAGCAUUAUAUCUCCAGAUGGAUGCUAUGUCUCAAGUAUAUUACAUGGCUAAGACCUGUCUCGCACAGAGUGACGAACAGCACACGAAUUAUUUUAAUGCCAUGAAGGACUUUGCAUCCAUGACAUUGGAAAGUGUAGGGGAGUCAUCCCGACUUGCAUUUCGCCCUCCACGAGUACCCCAGCAAAUUCCGCAAGCAGCAGACCCGUUGAAAGAGCUCCUAGGAAUGUUCACGGAGGUCAGCAUGGUGGUGGACGCCGCCGUAGACUCCGGUCACCAGAACCCACCGUCCAAACUGGAUGUGAUGAAGGGUCACAGGCUACCGAGCAUCAGAGCAUCCCUAGGUCCAUUGGCCAUCCUAGGUCUCCAGUGGCUAUGGCGGAGUUUACGCCCCUUACAGACUUACAUCUUGUAAGUGGUGAACAACAUGUAGGAGGUACAGAUGAAGGCCCAAGUUUCCAAGCUAUUGAUGCUAGACUUGAGUCACAGAUUACUCAAGUAGAUGUUGCGAUCCCAAUCCAGCCACGUCGAACACAGAGAGUGCGCAAACCCAGAGGAUGUGGCACUCAUGGAAGACUUGGACAUCAUUGAUAUUCAGCACUUUAAUUCUGUAGUUGUUGUUUGCUUCUCCUUUUGUUUAUAUUCUUUACUUUGGCGAUCACUAGUUUUAUUUUUUAAAAUAUUUGGACACGCUGCUAGAAAUAUUGGUUCUAUUAAAUGUUGUGCAUUUUGGGUUUGCUGGCAGGGAGUUUUGUCCACUUUUAAGGGGACACUUUGUCAAAAAUGUUUUUUUUUUAAAAAUUUUAUAUUAAUCAUAAUACAUUUUUUGUCAAACAUCUGAGUCGGUGCAAUAUCCAUUGUCUAGCUUGAUCUCAUCUUUUCUCAUUUCUAAUUUAGAAAUAAUCACUCCAUAAUCAUCUGUUAAAAAAUCAUUCCUACACAUGCGAGGUACUCAAUCUAAAAAAACAUGCGAGUGUAAAUAAUAUUUCACAUUAUUAUUUAAAAUACAAGGGCACGAAAAGAAUGUUUUAUUUUGUAUCUCUUCUUAUGAUCUUACGGAAGUCACAAUUGGAAUGGAAUUGUAAAUAACACAUUACAAUCAGGAAAUGUGAUGAUUUGAAAUUUAAAUAUGAUAACAUGCGCAUUAACUAACUACUUGAAAGGAAGGUGAACAAAGGUAAAAGCGAACUUAGCCAAUUGAAGGUGAAGCUCUGCAAAAAAGCUGUAAAACCUGUGAGAAACAUGUAGCAAAACGGCUCUGGCUGUUGACCUGAGGAAAGAGACAGAUCCGCGCCUCGGAUCUGUCACGUGAUAAUGGAUACGAGCUCGGAUCUAUAGUAUCCGUGGACUUUCCACCCUAGAUCCGAGGUCGGAUCCUAAACACCUCAAUAUCACUCACUGCAGAAGUACAGCCGAGGCCUCGGAUCAAGCUUCUCAAUUCGGAUCCGUGCUCGGAUCCUUGUGAUCCGUGGACUUUCCAUCGUAGAUCCGAGCUCGGAUCUACGAUGACCUCGGAUCCCUUUCUCCAGAAGUACAGCCGAGGCCUCGGAUCUGUCUUGUUAACACGGAUCCGCGCCUCGGAUCCAUGUGCAGCAAUUCCCAUGCUUUAUUUUUUACGGCUAUCCUAUUUUUGUACAAUUUUGCUCCCAAUCUGUUGUACAGUUUAUCCUCAUAAUUAGCCCUUACAUUUCUUUCAGUUCGUGCAUGAAUUUGAUACUUCAAUAACCUUCAGAGUGUUAAGUAAAUUAACGCAUUAAUCCACUAAUUUGAAUUCGUUUUGAACCCUAAUAUAAGCGAAUGUCGAUAUUUGUAAAUGGCAGCCCCCUUGUUACCCAGUACAUGAUUCAUUGGAGCAGAAAAUUAAUAAUAUUAUUCUUUAAUUUAGGCAUCAAUUUCUUUUGUCAUUUAAGCAUAAUUUUGUUGCAAUUUGGCCGUAUCGUGACUAUAUCAAGCACUUACUAACGAAAUUAAGUGAAAAUGACAAAUAUCAUUAAUCAUGCAAAUUUCCAAGUUCGAGGUAAUUUUUCUUAUUUAACCAAAUAUACUUCCUAAAAACUAAAAAUCCUAAUUGCAUCAUGGUUCAUUCCAAGCAAAAUGAGGACUAAAUAAGUUGGACAAGAUAAUCCAAGAAGAAAAACUACAAAGGUUGUCUUAACAAAAGAAAAGCAAAAUAGACAAAUAAAAGAUCCAAGCCGCUACGGAGCGUCAUGGCUGCUCGGAACGAGGGUCUAUUGCCUCCUCCGCUUCAUGAGGACCCUGUGAGGUACCAAUAUGGUCCUCCUCCUGAUGAGGUGUCGGAGUAGGCGACCGGCGGAUGUUGAAGUGUUCUUCCAUGGCCCGAAGACGGCGAUCAUGCCUGUCCAGUCGCUCCGUCAUCCGUCUCUCCGUUUGAUCGAUACGCUCGACGACUCGUCCCUCCAUACAGCAAAUGGCAUUUUGGAGCUCUUGCCAUUUUGAUCUCGGAGGAGGUGGUGGUGGUCGAGGAACAGGAGGAGGAAGAGCUUGCUGCGCCUCCGCCUCUCGAGUUUUCGCUUGUGAUUCAGUGUGCGGAGGAGGCUGGGCUGAAGUCGAUGCCUCUCCAGUGUCUCGAACCAGAGCAGCUCCAAAAUCCGUAGCAAUGCCCAAAGCUUUGAGUAUAGAGGUAUUAACCUCCUCGACAGACCUAGUGACGAUAGCUCGCUCGGUUCCAAGAGGAACCUUGACAUUCUCAAAAAUGAGGGAUAGCAGUCUUGGAAACCCGAAGCAGGUCUCGCCGGCCCUCAUGCGAGCUGUAGUCCGCAUAUAACUGAUGAUAAUGCUGGGUAGAGAAAUGCCGGUCAGCUGCGCACCCACACCAUGCAUCAUCUUGUCCAAAAAGUAGAGAUCACUAUUGCGGAGCUCCCGUUUUCCACUUUUUUUUGGUACCACAUUGAAGCCAAACAGGUAGAAGAUUAGGUGGUACCUAUGCUCGAAUGAAUCGGCGUAAACUGUAAGCUUCUUCGCAGUUCCUCUCUCUCUAUACUGGCCCUUGAGGCAUCCAACCGCCUCUCCUACCUGCCAAGGGUCUCGCGCCUUGAACUCCUUCGUCAAUUUGAUAUCUUGUCCUUCGUCUUUAAGUUUGACGAAGCGUCCCAGUGUAUCCCGAGUAAGAGCCACUCUCUUGCCUCGAACCCACGAGACGAUGAGAUUGCCACUGUGGCUUUCUUUGUUUUCCACGUUGGCAUAGAACUCCCGGACCAAGGUUGGGUAGUAAUGCUUGGGAAGUUGUAAGAUGUUCUCCCAACCAAGGUGCUUGAAUGCUGUGGAGAUGUGGUAGUGUGCAUCCACUUCCGGUGCCAAGUGCUUCUCGAUGAUAAUCUCCUUGUCUAAGCCGAAUUCAUACCAUUUUUGGUUUUCAAGCGAGGUGAAUCGAGUGGUAUCGUAGUCCGGAGGUGGCUCGUCACGGCUAGUAGACGCGGUCUUCCGGCGAGAGCGAGGUGGCGGCUCUGGUGACGGAGAUUUCUCUUCAGGUGACUCCUCAUGCAAGGAAGGUGUGUGUUCCUCUGUCGACGAAGAUGGAGGUGUCGGUGCUCUAGACCUUCUUGUGCGAGCCAUAAUACCUAUACCAAAAGCAAGAUGAACGGUCUGGAUGAAAUCGUAGAAUCUUGCUCGCACGUAUUAAAUAAGAAUUUAAAAAAAUUUCGGCAGAGUUUCCCCUUGAAAAACGGCUAAACUACCUGCCAACAUUUACCAAAAAUUCAAGCAAAAAAACUACGUAAGACCUCACAAAUACAAUUCUCACAUUGAGAAUCAAUAUUACCAACAAGGUUGUCAUGAUACGCUAAAUACUUCCAAUACUUUGACAAUUAAAACCAUUUGUAAGAUUGGAAUAAAAUUUGAAAGUAAAGUAGACUAUCAAUGACACUAUGCUAUAACAUUAAGCUUCAAACAUCAAUUCAUCGCAGCGUCUCCAUAUGCCUUACGAAAAACAUCUUCAAUUCAAACAAUUCUCAACUUUUGGCACUUUCCUUCAAACCAAUACAUAACUACCCACUAUACUUACCACAAUUUAUCAUCAAUUGUGAAUAAAGAUGCACUUAUUUCAAGCAAACAAAUGCAAAUUGUACACGAAAACAAGAAAUUGCAAACAAAAGUCUAGUGUGCUUUCAUGAGAAAAAUUAUACAAUUUCUCACCAUAUUAACAAAUUUCUCAAAUCUAAGCAAACAACCAUAACUAAAUGUAUAUAUUAUCACAAUGUAAUACAAUUGUAUCAAGAAAUUUCAACAAAUAAGCUUUUAUCACAAUUACUCAAAAACUUAAAAAAUUAUGCAAAAAUAGGAAUUAUAAAAUCUCAAAAGAAAUUGCAAAUUGUUACCUCAAAUGUAAAGGAGGAUGCUGGAGGAUGAUAAUGAUGAAAAAUGAGGGAGAAACAAGUCCAAUUUUACCCACAAAUUAGAAGAAUUCCGUGCGGCCCAAAAUUGCCUUUUGAAUAUCAAAAUCCACUUUUGAUGAUGUUUUGUGGUGAAAUAGCUUACGGUUUAUGAUCAUACAAGGGUUAGGGAGGUGUUUAUGGUGAAGGAUUGGAGAUUUGAUACAUUAAAUAGAAGAUUGGAGAAAAGGGGGUAGGGUUUCGGUGAGAAGAGGGAAGAAAUAUUUGAAAAGUGCACAAACGAACCCUCGUUUCUGCUUUAUUCGCGAACAGAUCCGAGGUCGUAUCUGUUCUUGUAGUCCUCGGAUCCUACAUGUCUCGGAUCCACAAGUGCUGAAGUUUAUCCGAGGUCUCGGAUCAAACUGGAACUUUAAUGAUCCGUGCUCGGAUCUCCUGUUUUAAUUUUUCCAGCUUCAAACGAUCCGCGGUCGGAUCCUUCUGGGUUUUAUAGGAUACGAGCUCGGAUCAUCACAAUUCUGCACUAAUUACACCAAUUGCAAUUUUCCAAACAUUUUCUCCCUUUUCCGACUAAUUCCAAAUAAGCUACAAAACUCAUAAAUUUUUUGAUUCCACCAAUCGCUAUUUAAAUGCAAAAAAUGAUUAUUGUUAGUCUCACUGUUGUCGAGUGAAAUGAAAUUCACACAACUUUACAGCCAAGAAAUCAUAACUGUGACAUAUUUAGUGGUAGUGACUUUUAAAUAUUUACUAAAGUUAAGAAGUCCAAAUACGUGUUAAUCAAACGUCAAAAAGAAUGAAGGAAAUGACCUUCUAUUGGUGGUUACUAACCUCGCAUUUUGCAAAUGCGAGGUAUACAUGACCUCGCAUUUGGUAAAUGCGAGGUAUACAUGACCUCGCAUUUGUAAAAUGCGAGGUUCGCUUCUUUUUUUUUUUUUUAAUUUCUCUGGUCUCAAAAUUCAUGUGAACUUCGCAUUUGGUAAAUGUGAAGACCCCCAAGAUAGAAAACCAUACACAAAACGCCCCCUUUGUAGAUUUUUUUAAAAUUUCAUCAUAUUUUUAGAAAUUUCUCAAGUGUGGUCGUGGUCCUCAUUAGGCUUCCAAAAUUUGACAGGAGUGUGGUCUUGUGAUAUUUGCGACUGAACAAAGGAUAACACUCUAAGUGUAACUGAUGAAUACAAAAUGGGGGGAAUAAGUAAAAUUUGUUUGUGGUAGGAGCAAUAUAAUAAUAUAAACCUCUUCUUCCUCUUCUUUCUUUUUCUUCUUUCUUGUCCUUUGCCCGAGAGUGGAGAAGAUCGACUUAACACAUUUUUGCCACCUUUUCUCCCGAGCCCUUUUGCCACUUUUGUGGGGAUCAGCGUUCUCUCCUUUUUUUAACAGUAGUUUCCUGAUUGUCUGAAUCCGCCUCAAUUCCUUCAACACGUACACAUUAUUGUUACCCAUAUUACAAAAACAAAACCCAAAAAAAUAAAAAUAAAAAAUAAAAAUUGUGAACACUCAGUAACAAAAGUAUAGAUGGAUAAUUUAAUUUACCAUCAUAGCCUCUCAAGCACUCGACCACAAUUUCCGCACAGCCUUGACUUGACGAGGAAUAUAUUUUGAUUCUUCUUGUUCUUCCUUUGUACCAAGAAAACAAACUCAAACAGUCAAGAAUUCAUAUCACCUCAGUGGUUAAUGAGUCGAUGUCAUUGUCGGUCUAACGCUUGGAAUACCACCUCAAGAUGUAUUCUAGGAAACUAAACAUUAUAUUCUUAUUUUCCUCCUUUUUAUUUUUUAAUUUCAUUUUCAAUGUAGCUUUUUAUUUUUGUUCCCUUCCCCCUCUGUGAUUAUAUAUAUAUAUAUAUAUAUUGCUGUCUCCGUCCACAAACCCAAUCAAUCAUAUCGACCACUUUCUUUCCUGCUUCAUCACUCUUGGACUUCCAACAGUAGUGAUCAGCAAUCCACAUUUUCCUUGUUUUUUUGUCAAUUUACAUUUAUUUAUUUCAGGAGAAAAUAAGAAAAUGGAACAAAAAUAUAAAGUAAUAGGAGCUCUCUAAGAUGCGCAAGGAAAUAAAUACACAUCAUCCGCCGUUUUGGAGGUGUUGCCUUGGGGAUGAAAAAUGGUGAUAAAUACUAUCAUCGUUUUUUCUAUUAGAAACCAUACGAUUAUUUCAAAAUUUUAAGUAUUCAUUUUAAACAUUUGGGCUGAGGCUAACCAUAUAAAUAAAUUAAUUCAGUAUCAUUGAAUGAGUUGUGCCUCUCAUUGUCCAACUUGACUGAUGACUGACAAUUAAUACCUUAGUAGCCAGCCAAGUGAAAAAUAAAAAUAAAAAUAAAAAAUUGGCACAAUUCAAUUGAAUAGUCAGACAUCAAAAUUCCUGCUUCCAAACACUUUAUUGUCAGAUAUGAAAUUACACCCUGGUUCCAGGUUCCAACAACCAUCCAUGCUAUAUAUAGAGUAGUAUAGCUAUAGGAUUAAUGCUUUGUAGCAUCUAAACUUGUCAGAUCCCAAAAGUAUAACAAAGGAGGAUCACCUGCAACCUGCACAUUCUGUUACGUACCUUAUUUGCGCCACCCCAAAAGUACAGGAUGAAGGUGUCAAAUUUAUGAUAUUCAAGAAAUAUUAUUCUUCCCAACUUCCUGUGUAUUUUCCUUAUUACUAUUACAACACUAAUCAUUCUUUUGUGGCAGAAAGUGGUAAUUAAAGUGUCCUUGCAUGGAGAGAAGUCUCGCCCCAAAGCCGUGGACAUGUUAAUCCAGGUAAUGAAAGCUAUGAUGCCCUGCGAGUUGCUCUGGAACCAGCUGCAGCCCUCAGCAGCCAAAAACAAAAUCAAGGCCAUGCAAAUCGUAGCACGAACCCGAGGUAAUUUAAUUACAGAAAUUUAUGGCCUAUUUUUCUCAUCCGUCUCGUUUCUAAAUACACAUUUUUGGGUCCAUGUAACAACGUAAAAGUAAAACUUGUGGCGUAAAAUCGUUAGGCAUGCUCUUUGAAAGCGUGUUUUUUGUGUAGGAGUUGCAUCGAUAGCUUUAGAUGGGGAGGAGAAGAACCAGCUUGUGGUUUCAGGAGAUGAUGAUUUUGAUCCUGUGAAGUUGGCUACGUUGCUCCGAAGGCAUUUGGGAAUUGCUAAUAUUGUGAGUGUUGAUUCAUCAUAUAGUGAAAAGAAAGAAAGUGAAAAAGUUGAGACCACAACUCAUCAUGUUUAUGGUGGUGUUCCUAGUUUCCAAGUUGUUGAGCUUGCAGAUAACCCCGGGUGCAAUUGCAGCAUCAUGUGAGUGCCAAUAGAUGAAGAUUUUGAUAGACUUGAAUAUGCAAUUACUUGUACUAGAAUGUUAUAAGCAAUAGAUGGAUAUAUAUAUAUAUAUAUAUAUAUAUAUAUAUAUGGUUUUCUCAAUUUGCAUGAGAGAGAUUAGAUAUAUGUAUGUACGUCUGUAACCAAAAAAUAAUAAAUAAAAAGAAUGUUAUUGUUUUGUCCUACUUUGAGGUAAAAUAAAAGAAAAUAAUUUUCAAGAAAGAUUCGUUGUUUGGUAGAAAUCAUGCAUGGAAGGGAGAAAUUAAGGAGGGCCCUACAAGGGGAGCCAUUGUAUAACGUAGGUUCAGUAUUAAUUAAGAGUUUUUUGGGGUGUUUUUAAAAAAUUUUACUGUAACGGUAAAUGCGAAAAACUUUUAUCAUAGAUGAGUUUAUGGUGUUUUUAAGAGUAUUUUUAAAUGUGUAUUUUAAAGUAUUUUUAAAUUUUUUAUAUUUUCUAAAAAUUGAAAAUAACACCACCCACCACCACCGAUCACCACGUCCUCCUCUCUCCUCCCCAUCCUUCCUCCUCCCUCUUCCCUUCCUUCCCCCUUCAUCUAUUUUAUAUGCGAUGUCAGUGAUCAUGUAAGCAUAUAAGAUCUUUAAGUGUGACGGAAUACAAAAGAAUAAAAGAUUUGUAUUCCAAGGUUCAUUGAUUCUAGGAAAAGAAACAGGUGAAAGCUUUUUUUAAUUUUUUACUGAUUCUUUUCCUAGAAUCAACGAACCACAGAACACGAUUUCUUAAGCUUUGUAUUUCGUCACUUAGACCGCAUAUGCUUACAUGAUCAGUGGCAUCACAUAUGAAAAAGUUGAGGCCACCCGUCAUGAUUAUUGAUUUUCUUCUUUGUUUCUAAGGGAUUAGGGAUAAUUUCACAAACCCCCUUGAAGUUUUUAACAAUUACAGAGAGCUUCUCUCAAGUUUUAAAAAUUACAUAUACCUCCCCUAUUGUUAUUUUUUAGUAAUAAUAUAGGUCCAACAAUAUAGAUUUUCUCACAAAAUUCCUAAAUUGCCCUUUAAACUAAGAAAAAUAUAGUAUACUCAAUUAUUUUCUUCAACGCUUUGCACAAAUCAAUAAAUCUAAUUUCUAGCAACUAUCCAAACAUAAGUUUUAAAACCAAAUAGCCGUCCAAAGGAUCCCAAAUUACAUGUACAGUAUCAAUACUUGCUACGUAAAAAAAAAAAAAAAAAUAGUCACACACACACACACGUCCACAACCCCAUUGACAACCAAUUUUAUACCCCAAAAUUAAAUAUCAAUGCUCAAAUACCUUUUCAAUAUAAGUUAAUUUGAUUUAGAACCGCUAUUAUAAGCCUCCUAUGGCCUUAAAAAUACUAAUAUCUCAAAAAUAGAGAAUAAAUUCUACCUCCACAAUAAAAUCAUAAUAAAAAAUUUCUAAUCCAAUGAAAGAAAUAUUUAUGUAAUUAUUGACAUUUUAUAAAAAAAAAAUAUUGACAACAAAGAAAAUAUGAUAAAUUCAACAUCUUUAGUUCUUCUUCCUAUUUCAAUCAUCAAUUUCAUUAUUUGUUUCUUUAUCACUGCGAGUAUCUUCAUUUCCUUCUAAUUUGACGCAUAAUCUACUCCCUCGGUUGAUUUUAUAAUUGCAACUUGCUAAUAUCCACAAAAUUGAAGAUAAUAAAAAGAUGUUAUAUUAACCAAAAAAAGAGAAGAGUGAAAAUAGACAAGAAGCAGAAAAAUAGAUUUUUUUUGGAUUUUGUAAAUUUAUCGCCUUAAAUUUAAAAUUUUCUACAAAGUGAAGGGCAUUAUAGAUAUUUUACUGUACCAAUGGAGGUACGUGUAAUUUUUUAAAUUUGAGGGGAGCUGAGUGAAAUUGUCAGAAACCUCCCUUGAGGUUUCUGAAAUUAUCCCAAGGGAUUAUUAGUUUGGAGGUUUCUGAAAUUAUCCCAAGGGAUUAUUAGUUUCUGACGGGAGCUUAAGUCAAUAUUCCUACUUCUAUCAAGAAUCUUAGACUAGUUUAAAAUAAAAUAAAAUAAAAAGUAGGGUAACAAUUUUAGUAAUCUCAGUCUCGACUAUGGCUAAUUAAUCAGUCAUACCUAUGACUAUGGCUAAUUAAUCAGUCGACGCUUUCCCAUUAGAGUCGGCGGCGCAUUUUUUCAAUUCCGGACACUCCCCUUCAAGUAAAAAAAAAAAAAAAAGGGGAAAAUAAAUUUGAUGACAAUUUCCAUUGAAUUUCAUUUGAAUUUGAAGAGUACACAAAUUAAAUAACAUGUGCGCAUUCAUUUUCCAAAAGGACAGCAAUUCUUCCAAGUCAAAUGAGGGAAGGAAGUCUCCGUUCUUGGCUUGUCCCUUGGGGUACUCCUACUCACUACUCACUACUCAGGGCCAGGACAGAUGAUUCUAUAAGACUACAAUCUCAAAUCGCAAUCACUAGUCCUAAUCGUUGUUUUGGCUGCAAUAAAUCCCUAAAGUCUUGGUCUUCGAAUUAUCGAAUAGUCCUAUUCAGGCCCCCCCCCCCUCUCUCUCUCUCUCUCCCCGGAAUUAGACUUGAUUAACAUUUUGCAGCACAAAGAAUUAAUCGUUUCGGACCCAUAAGAGUGGUGAAAAAGUAGAUAGGAUCUCAUAAAUUUGAUGGUUGACAGCAUCUCCUUGAUUGGAAAGUUUGAUAGUUGAACCACAAAUUUGAGCGUAACCAAUCCAUAAAUCAACCACGCAAGCAUAACGAUUUGUUAUACGGAAGGAAGGCAAGGAGAUCCUUUGUUAGGUUAAAGUGUUUUUUUUUUUUUUUGUCAAUAAAGAAUGAGAAUUUUCAUUCUAAUGUCUACACUAAUGGCACUGAGAGUGCGUUUGAUAAAACUGAAGUUUGAAGUUUGAAUUCAUUAAUUUAUUGAAUUGUUAAGUGUUAAAUCGAAUACGUUUGAGUACAUAUCACAUUCAGUGAUAAAUGAAUAGUUUAUCACUUAAUUUUAUGAACAAGUUUUGUCUAGAAAAUUCAGCGUUUUUUGUUAUCAAACGGAUUGAAUAUGUUAAAAUCUGAAUAUAUUAAAUUUAAGUAUUUAAUUGAGUUAUCAAACAGGGACUAAAUACAUCAAAUCAUAUAGAUCUGAAAAUCAAACGAUACAACAUAUCUAACAAAACUAUAAAUUUGAUGAUAACAUUAAAGACCAAAAAAAUAUAUAUAUAACAACGAUACGAGGAAUAUCAUAGAAUUAUUCUCAAUAUAUGAUCUAAGAUGAUCAGAGGAUACGAGGAGGAGAUACGCAUUCUAACAACCAUUGCCAUUGCCAUAAAGUAAAUACUCAAACGAGAAAACUUGGCCAACCAUUGACUUUGACGUGCAUGAAUGACUCAAAAGAGAGACCAGAAAGUAGAAACAUGAAUGGUGGUCUUCGCUAUAAAAAUCUACUUUUUUUUUUUUUUUUUUUACUAAACUUCAAUUCACAUGGUGAAAAGAAAAAUCAAACACUUUACGUUGAAUAUUAUUCUUUAAUAAAAGAUGAAUUAAUGUGUCUCCACCACGCUGCUCUGUCACAUAGAAUAAUAAUAAUAUUCUCAGUGUGUUCGUUGAUGUAGCAGUGGAAAUUAGCCAAACGACAACUUGGCAACUCAAAACAAGGUCCGAGGAUACAUCAUGUUUUUCCUUGGACAAAGACCUAUCCAUUUGCUGGUAAUUAAAUGCAUGCGUUGGUAUCUAAUUACACUAGGGCUGCAAACGAAUCGAGCGAGUCAAGCUCGAGUCGAGCUCGAGCUCGAGCUCAGAAUAUUAAGCACGUUAGCUCGCGAGCCGACUCGCGAGCUUGGGUAUAUAUAUAUAUUUUUUAUUUUUAUUUUUAUUUAAUAAUAAAAUUAUGUAUAUUAUAUAUAUUUUUUUUUAUUUUUUAUUUUCAUAGUAAAAUUACGUAUAUGUCCUUAAUAUUUUAUAUUUAUUAAGAAAAAAAUAUUAUUUUUUUAUUUUUUUUUAAAUAAAAUAUUUAUUAUUUAUUUUUUUUCGACCUCGAGCUCGAGCUCGGCUCGACUUGAUUUGAGUCGAGCUCGAACUCGAAAUUUGCCGGCUCGUCGAGCUCGAGCUUGGUAAAAUUUAGUCGAGACUCGACUCGAUUAGCUCAAAACUCGACUCGGCUCGACUCGUUUGCAGCCCUAAAUUACACCUUAUUGAUGAUUACAAAGUUCACAUCUUGAUGACUCAGUCCUUGCGAGUAUGAUGGUAACGACGACGCCAAGGGUUAAUUAUCUGCGCUAUUUCAAGUAUUCAGCAUAUAAUAUUUCAUAAAUUUAUUUAGCUAAAAAAAAAAUACUUCGUUGAUAUUAAGUGAGGAAGGAAAUUAUUAAUGGAAGGGAAGAACAGGUUUGGCCCCUAUUCCAGAAGAGACGAUACAUGGGAAGCCAAGGAGACUGUUUAAAGACGAUGGCAAAGUUAGGCUGCAACCACACACCCUCUUUGUUGUAGCUUGCGACCGAGUGUAGGAAAUUAUGACAACAGUCAAUCAUUUGUGGACUAAAAUCCUCAUGAAACAAAUAAUUGGACAUCAUAAAAUUGAAUUAGUGUACAUAAAAAAAUGGAAUGUAUAUAUGUAUAAAUAAAAAUUGAAAUUUAUAUACGAUCAGAUGGUAAAGUCGAUUCGAUCUCAACUAUUCGCGCAGCCAAAUUUCAUUUUCUUGUAACUAUUAGCAUAACUCGUAGUAGUAAAUAGACCCUUUGUUCUGGUAAAAUUUUUUUUUUUUUUGUAUAAAUGGGAGAACUCGACUCUAAAACCUUUGCUCUAAAUUUCUAAUAAAUCGAUGAAGAUGCCUACACAGUAUACAGGGCAUGACAACCAAUGCCAUGGCCAUUUGUAAUUUAUUAGAACAGGAUGCUAGGGGCUUGUAGCUGAUGCUCAAUAUUGCUUCAAUCUAUAAUUAUUAUCUUUCAUGCCCAAAAAAAAAAAACUCUGCCAUCAUCCCCUCUUUAUUAUAUAUAAUAAAAAAGUAGGUACGUACACAAGAAAACUGAUCAAUCAUCAUUGGCCGGGCGGUAGAUUCAUCACAUUAGACAUGCAUGGCAUUCUUGAUUCUUCUAAAUAAUUAUGCAGCCAAUCAAAUACUCAGAGAGUGAGACUUAGUGUCCACUAUAUAAAAUCGUUUAACGGGUCUACUUCUCUUAUUAAACUGGAAUUCACAUAGAAAAACGUCGGAAAAAUAUAACUUUCAAAGAAAAUGAACUUCACAAUUAUGCUGUGGUAAAAGACGAAAGAGUGGUAUUCCCGUCUUGUCUUGACCACGCUGCUUUGUGAUAGCAUGGAAAAUUAUUAGCGCUACGUACGAAGUUGAUUUGAUCUAUUAGAAUUAGACCCGUAAGGGCUUACGUAAGUUGUAAAGAAUCACACCUAGCAAAAGUGUUUUUAAAUUUUUCCAAAAAUUGGAUUACUUAAAUUAUCAAGCAUUUUAAAACUACUUUUAAUAUUUAAUAGCACUUUUUUUUUAAAUAUAUAAAUACACAGCAAAGCAACUCGUGACAGCACCUCAUACUUAUCCAAAUGGCUUCUUGGCUAUGGAUACGCCUCUUUUUUCCUUCGGUGGACAAUUUCAUGGGGUGGGCCUCUUCCAAUCCUGAUAUUUUUGGUUUUUGGUCACCCUCUCAAUGUCACAUUUUGAUGUACCAGUCCUGCGGUUAUUGCGCUAAGGGUUAUCUUGAAUUUGACGAUAAAAUGUGCACUUUAUAAAAAAAAAAAAAAAUUUUUCUAUAAACCAAACGGCUUCUUGGCAAUCCAGACGACGGUCCGAGGAUACGCGAUUUUCCUUGGACAAGAUCACGAGGUGGACCUGUCCAUCCCUGAGAAGUACGUGCCUUGGUAUUUAAUUACCCUUCAAAGUUGACCUUUUCUUGAUCCCAGAAGAGACGACUUGUGGAAGCCAAGGGAGGAUAAUCACUCGUCUGCAAAUGGUAGUAAUAAAUACUGGAUACCUUUAUGGUAGGAACCGUUGACCGUGUCUAUGGUAGGAAGGCCUCCAGAGGCCGACACGUGUUGCAGGUGGAUGGAUUGCAAACGGAGACGUUAAGCCGUGGAAUCGCACGUGGAGAUGCAACGUUAACAUGUUGUCCGCGGCUGCAAGGUAAAAGCACAGGUUCGAAUAUUGCCUAUUAUAUGAAUACAAUAGUCAAUUGUUUUGAAAGACUAUUGUAUUCAUAUAAUUUCAAUUGUCUGCCUAGAUAUUGCCAACUAAUUAAAGAUAACUUUUAUUUAACAUAGCAAAUACAUACUUACAUAUGAAGAUGGUAAUAAGAAUACAUAAAAUAAUUAAUGAUACUAAAAGUUAUCCUUAGCGUUUGGGUUUUACAUUCUUAUUCAAAUCUAAUCAGGGUCAAAUUUGGGUUAGAUAUAUACAAAUUAAGUAGUAUUUUAGGGUCGAAUGUUCUAUAUUUUUUUCUUAAACUAUAAUGUUACUUUUUUAAAAAUUUUGGUAGAAUUGGUGUUGUUAUUAUCAUAUUUAUCAAAAAAAUAAAAGGCCAGUAGUACUUUUUUUUUAUUUAGUGAUUUCAUAAUUUAGAUUUCAUGAAUGGUACCAUUCUUUAUUUUUUAAAUCCACGACAUUAUUUCCUUUUGUUUUCUGUAUAAUUUUGCUAUUUUACUUAGGAUUACUAAGUUAAAAGAUAAAAUAUUAUUAUUUACUUUUUUACUUUUACUAAGUUUGGUAAUGUUUUCUCUUUAUUUACCUUCCCACUAAUAAAUUUCAAACCAAAUUCCUAUAUAAGUGGAGCCACUUCUUACUUAUUUAAAUUAGAAAGGCAUGGAAGGCACUUCUUAUUUAGAAAAAUGUUAUUUGCACUCCAUUUUUUAUUAUUUGUAAUUCCACCAUUUGUUUUAUCAUAUAGUCUAAUUAAUGAAAACUACAUGAUCAAAAUGAUUAUUGAAGUGUGAAUAACAAAAAUAUAGUGUAAAUAAUCUUACUUAUUUAAAUUAAUAAGAAAGCAUGAAAGGAUGUCAUAUUUGUUAUCUCUUGUUAUGGUCUUAUAGAAGUUUUAAUUGGAGUAGAAUCAUAAAUAACGCAAGGUAAUCGAAAACGUGAUAGGUUGAAGUACAAAUAAGAUAACAUGCACAUUAACCAACAAUUUGAAAUGAAAUGAUUUUAAAAAGUAACUAACAGUUUCAAAUGUGAAGAGUAGAUGUGGAAGUUAAGAGAAAUAUAUUUUAUAAAUUAAAUUAAAUGUGAAAUGCUAGAAAAAUAGAAUUGGUAGUGGGAAGACGUGUGAAGGCUUGUUGCUAAAAAUUUUUUCUCAAAUUUAUAUAUAUAUAAAUAGAUAUAGAUGUCUUUUUUUUAGUGGUUCAAUCUCAUAUUCAUGAACUAUCUGCAGAAAAAAAAAUUCUGGACUAUACUAAUUUUGUUAUACCAACUCUGUUAUUCUUAUUAGUGUAUUAAUUGUUACGCUAUUUCUCUCAUUUUGUUGGGUCUACAUUAAUACAAGUGUAAUUGUUAUUAUGUCUCGUGUCCCAGAAAAUACAUAAUAUCCUAUUCAGGUGGAUACGUGCAACAGAUAAUCAAAUUGAUGGUAAAAAUUUAGAAUGAAUAAGUUGCUUUUGCAUAACGGUUGUAAAGGUUUCUUGAGACUUUAUGAAUUAGGUGUCUUGCGUUUGCAAAAAGAAUUUCAGAAGAUUUUUUGUAUUGGAAAUAGAGUUAAAACUUGCUAUAGGUUACUUUCCUGUAUUUCAAUCUUAUCGUAAAGGGUAAUUUUCUGUUGAACCUAAUUUUUUUCUGAUUAUAUCCAACUAAUAAAUUAACUUAAGAAAAUAGAUAAUUUAUGGAGGAAAGGUAUAAGUAGCUGGUGCUUAUUUUGAAAAAUAGAUUUAUUUUUAUUUUAUCAAAUAAAUAAAUUAGUUUAUGAAAAAUGGGUACUCUGUUCUUAUAAUGGAGGAAUGUCUUAAAGGGCUAGUGUUUUAUUAAAAAAGGAUCUAUUUUUAUUUUAUCCGAUAAAUAAAAUUUUUGUAUGCAAAAAUGGGUACUCUAUUCUUAUAAUGGAGGAAAGUCAGGAAGAGCUAGUAUUUUAUAGAAAAAUGUGUUUAUUUUUAGUUUAGCCGAUAAAUAAAAUGUUUUAUUUAUAGAAAAAUGGGUACGCUGUUCUUAUAAUGGAAAAAAGUCAUAAAGAGCUAGUGUUUUAUUGAAAAACGGAUUUAUUUUUAUUUGAUCCGAUAAAUAAAAUUUUUUAUGAGAAAAACGGGCACUGUGUUCUUAUAAUGGAGGAAAGUCAUAAAGAGGUAGUGUUUUAUUGGAAAAUGGGUUUAUGCAGAAUUUUAUUUUAUCCAUAAAUUUUUUUUAUGGAAAAAUGUGUACUCUAUUCUUAUAAUGGCGGAAAGCCAUAAAGAGCUAGUGUUGUAUUAAAAAACAGGUUUAUUUUUAUUUUAUCCGAUAAAUAAAUUUUUGUAUGGAUGUCUAGAUAAAAUUUAUUGAUCGGAUUAAAAGAAAAUUUAUUUUAACACUCAUUUUUCCAAAAACAAAUUUUCUUUUCGAAAAAAAAGAAAAUAAGCCCGUUUUCUAAUAAAACAGUCGCUGUUUAUGGCUUUCCUGCAUUAUAAGGAAAGAGUACCCAUUUUCUCAAAAACAAAUUUAUUUAUCGAAAUAAAAUAAACAUAAAGGCGUUUUACAGUUAACCACCCACUAUUUACGGCUUGCCUCCAUAAAUUAUCCACUUCACUAUUUUUCAUAAGUUAAUUUACUAGUUGGAUAAAAUUGGAAUAAAAUUAGGUUGAACAGCAAAUUACCCUUUAGGAUAAAAUUGAAAUACAGGAAAGUAACUUAUAGCAAGUUUUAACUUCGUUUCCACUACAAAAAAUCUUCUGCAAUUGUUUUUGCAAACACAAGAAGAAUAAUUCAUAAAGUCUCAAGAAAUCUUUACAACCGUUAUGCAAAAGCAACUUAUUCAUUCUAAAAUUUUAGCAUCAAUUUGAUUACCUAUUGGACGUAUCAACGUCAAUAAGAUAAUAUGUAUUUUCUGAUACACGAGACAUAAUAAGAAUUAAAUUUGCAUUAAUGUAGACCUAACAAAAUGAGAAAAGUGGCGUAACAAAUAAUACAAUAAUAAGAAUAACAUAUUUGGUAUAACAAAUUUAGUAUAAUCUAAAAUUUUAUUUUUUUUCUGCAGAUAGUUCACGAAUAUAAGGUGCAACCACUAAAAAGAAUGACAUGCAUAUGUAAUGUAAAAAUGAAUAUAAAAUGAAUGUAGUUACAUUGUGUCAUCCGGUAUUCGGGUCCACAGUGGAAGCCGAACUUCAAUAAUGGAAAGCCAAAGUUGAAGCUUACUUCAGACGCUAUGGAGAAGAAGUGGGGUCACCAAAUAUUUGGUACAAAGGAAAGACUUGCAAUAACAUAGUAUGGAAGUCAGUCUGCUGUUUGCUUCCAUCCGUACACGCUUCUACUUGAUUCCCUAUACACGCGCUCUCCAACAAUUUAACCUCUCCGUUUGGACCAUUUUGCCCCCAACACGUGUCGCUCUCUGCCGGCAUUCUUACCAUAGGCAGGUUCCUGCCAUAAAGGUUUCCAAUAAAUACUACCUAAACGACAAAACUGGUCAAUCAAUCAGCUCAGCUCAGCUGGCGCUAAAAUUCAUCACAUUAGACAAUGCAUGCAUUAUGGAUUCUUCUAAAUAAUUGUGCAAAUUCAUCAAAAGCUCAAACAGUGAUUAAGGGACUUAAGUGGACCUCGCAAAAUCUUUCGAGGAAUCUAGGAAUGAUUUUCAGAGACUGCACAUUGAAUACCAUGCUCCAGUAAAAGACGAGAGAGACCGUCUUCACCACGCUGAUUUAUGAUCACGAGGAAAAUUAUUACUCCCUCCCAUUUUUUAUAAUUGACGUAUAAGAAAUUUGCUCUUAAAUACUUUUAUCUGUCGUUUUAUUAUCCCCAUGCAGCAUUAAUUAUUUUUUCACAAUUUUACCCUUUUAUCUCUCUUUUCAUAAUUGGUGGGAGUUAGUUUGCAUUGCUUUUGGCCUAGUAAAACAGCACCAUUUAAUACUCUAGUGAGAGAAAACAUGGGUGAAUUGGAUAAUUAAUGAGGGUACAAAAGAAAAGUAGUGUAUAGAUUUAAACAAUGAAAAACUUUUCUUAAUUGGUGUGCAAAACCUUAAACGUCAGCUAUAAAAAAAGGGAGGGAGUACUACUGUUUUAGUACUAUUCUGUGAUACCACGCCACGUUGAUCUAUAAUUAAAAUGCUCUUGAUAAAAUUGGAAUUUAAAAACUGAAAUAUGAAAUCUAGAGUCUGAGUCCUUUGAAUUGUUGAAUUAUUAAAUCUGAUACAGUUGAGUGUAUAUUACAUCAUAUUCAGUGAAGAGUGAAUAAUUUAUUAUUUAUUUUUUAAAGCAAAUUUUGCUUUAAAAAUUUACUAUCACUUAAUUAAUUCAGAUAUUUUAUUUUUUAUUAUUCAAUGUAUCUGAAAUAUAUUAAAAUUUGAAUAUUUUAAAUUUAAAUGAUGAAGUGAUGUGUCAAAUCUAAAGUCGUAGACGCAAGGACUUCUCGGCGACUCAAAGAAGAUCUGUAGUUAAGGAUACGUUGUUCCAAGAGGUGGGCCUCGCCAUAGUCCAUUCUCGCUAGCUGUCCGAUUGGUUUUUGGCUACCCUAUAACUUUCACGUUCUAAUGAAAGCAGUCCUAUGGGUGUUAGUGUUCCUACAUCAAAGUAGUCAUCAGUUCACAUAUUUUCCAAACAUAAGGAAAUGAAAUUAGAACUUUUGAUAAGUGUCAUACACACAACACGACCUAAUGAUACAUUAAUGAUAUAGGGUUCACGGCAUAUUUUAUCUGAUUCCAAUGAAUGAAAGGUGAGACAAUAAUCAUAUAGCUUUGCAAAAUCGGUCCUUCUGUUUUGUGCCUGGAUUAAGAAACGGCUUUGUUUGGAUUGAACUUUAUUUCUCAAAAUUUAUUUGCUUACAUCAUCAUUACAAUUUUCAAUACACCUUUUUACCUUCCCAAUUACCUUUUUAUCUCACAUACAUCAUAUCAUAAAAAGUGUUACAGUAAAAAUAUCUCUAAUAAUUCACAAUCCAAACAAACCCGGGUUCAAUUUCCUGCGGUGUUCUUGUUAGACAAAUUUCUGGGAUUGAACUUGAACUCAUGUUUAUUUCAAUUGUUUCGCUUUUUUUUUUUUUUCUCUGCAAUAGUUCUUUUGUGGCCAGAACAUUCAAGACAUUAAUUAAUAAAGGGCAAAUUUCACUUUACCCCCCUGUGGUUUAGCGUUUUUUCACAUAAUCCCCCUAUGGUUUCAAAAGCUAUACAUAACCCCCUUAUGGUUUGGAUUAAAGUGUCAAAGUAACGGAAAUAGUCACUCGUAACGGCGUCACCUAAAAUGUCAAAAAUACCCUUAUGCAAUGUUGAAAUUUAUGUAUUAACCAAGGGGGGUUAUGUGUAUAUUUUGAAAAUCAUAAGGGGGUUAUAUGGUAAAGUAUUAAACCAUAAGGGGGUUAUAUGAUAAAAUAUAAAAAUCAUAGGGGGUUAAUGUGUCAUGUAUUUAUAAGGGUAAUUUCGACAUUUUUAGAAGUUCCGUUACGAGUGACUAUUUCCUUUACUUUGACACUUUAAUCCAAACCAUGAGGGGGUUAUGUAUAGCUUUUGAAACCAUAGUGGGGUUAUGUAAAAAAAGGGUAAACCACAGGGGGGUAAAAUAUAAUUUACCCAUUAAUAAAUGUUGAAUCCCUCAACCUACAGCUAGUCAAAUUUGUUUCCAUUGGAGGGCUGCUCCUGAAUUUCACGCGUUCACGCGUUCACUGUUCACACACAAAGUUGACGCGUUUAGGAGAAAGGACCCGGCUAAAGUUGAAGGCUACUCAAGGGUGUGAGAAUUUUCCAACUAAUGGAUUCAACUUAUCCUUGUUUGAAAAAAAAUGACACAACUUUUUGUUGAAUAUUGGCCCCAACUAAAAGCCAUUUAUUAAUUUUAAAGUAGUGUUUUUUUUUUUUUUGGUUUUUUGGCUCUAAUCUUCAGAAAGAAACAAGGUAACUGAUAAUUAAGAGUCCGUCGUGUAUAUCUAAUUUUAAAUUUUUUUGUAUAAAAAAAUUAAAACUGCCCAUUUGGACUGCUAUUUUUUGAAAUUUUUGCAAAAAAUAUAUAUAUAUAUAUAUUAUAACGAUUUGAUGUACGUGAAGUAAAAAGGUGAUUGAAAAAUAUAUUCAUAAAUGAGGUAAAGCUUUUUUGAAAAUAAAUGGCAAUCCAAACAAGAACAAAGUACUAUCGCUUAUUCACUCGUAUUAUGAAUCUCAGAUCUGUUGUUGGAGGAGAUUGAUGAUUCAACAAAUUUUCACAUAUUGCGCCCUCUUCUUGAUGCUUCCCCCCGUUUUUACCCUUUUGGGUAUAAGGUUCUUCUUCAACUCUCUCUGAUUGAGUCCCAAACCCCUCGAAAACGACAUACUCUUGCUAUGAAACAACUCUUCACAUCCUGCUGCGGAGUACAAAUGAUCAUAUUUGGCAUAACACGAUAGUCUUCUAAUUCAUUUUCACUUCUUCAGCGAGUUUGAAAUUGAUUUACAACCUGCUAUAUUUGCUAUCCCAACCGACCUUUCGCCUAAUUCGGAUUGACUUGAGUUCAAGUAACUUGAUUUGCUCAAAUACUCACUACUGGAUCUCAAGUUCUAUAAUGUAAAAGCCAAUUUCAACAACUUAACUAGCAUCAAAUUCUAUUCAAUAAGGAAGGUUUACUCAGUCGUCACAAAAUUCUGGACGAGUUUCUGAUGAGACCAGCCCCACCCGAAUACCAAGUCGUGUUUUCAGUCUACUUGGUGCAUAUCGUCCCACGUUCCACCUUCUAGGUGAUAGCACUGAAGAUGACCUUUGUUGUGUCUAUGGAACUGAUCAUUGACCGUCAACGGCACGGUAUUGUCUUUUUUUUUUUUUUAAAUAAUAAUUGUUAUAUAAUCUGUUCUAUUCUAUUCUAUAUUAGGAGAGGGGACGAAUCUGAGGAGAUCUAACGAUAAUCCGAAAGAGAUUGAAUCACUAUCGAAUCAGACGAAUACACUACACAUUCUUCUAAAUUUUUUAAGCAGCGCUAUUUAAUAUGGUAAUCGGGAAGCUAAAAUUUAAUCAUUGACCUCACACCCCACCAAUCUUUAAUUAAUGCCAAGGGCAGGUAGUUGGCACGAUAUCGUCAUUGUGGGUCAUCUUAUUUAGUGAUGUUUCUUUGUAUCUUCUGAAGCUGUCAUCAUCUAAGCAAAGGGUCUAUAAAUAGAAAGAGCGGCACUUGACUAGCACGGCAGAAUAACCCAUUCUAAGGCCGAGAGAAGAACGACUUCUGCAGUCUCUUUUCUCAGCUAGAGCUGUUCAUUUUUUUUUCAGUCGUUUUACUUGCGGAAUUAAGGCAAUGAAGGUGAUGCUCUGAUUCAUUUAUUUAACUUGAUCUUGUGCCUUGUCUGGCAAAAGAUAUGUAGCUAACUAAUUUCAAUUUGGUUCCUUGAUUUUGUUAACUGCAGCAAAAAGUCGUGAUUAGACUUUCUAUGAGUGAUGAGAAGUCCCGCAAGAAGGCCUUCAAAACUGUUGUCGGUCACGCAGGUACAGAAGAAAGUUCAAUUUUUCAAGAAUUAGAUUCCGCAAAAUACGUGAUAAAACUGAUUCUAUUACCUUAGUUCUUGAGAUUCUAAGAAAGAAUUUGGCUGAGAUUCUUAUACAGAUUCUGAUCAUCAUUCCUCUGCUUUAUCUUCAGGUGUGGAAUCUACGGCUUUGCAGGGAAAGGAAAAGGAUCAAAUAGAGGUUGUUGGAGAUGGGAUUGAUGCAGUGAAGCUUGCAACUUUGCUCAGAAAAAAUGUUGGCUAUGCAGAGCUUGUGACCGUGAGCCCAGUUGGUGAGAAGAAAGAUGGUGAUAAAAAGGAUGAUGGCAAGACAGAUCCCAGUUCUACGGAGCCACCUGUGGUUUGGUCCACUUAUCCUUAUGUUUACAGCAGCGUACCUCACCAUCUCUAUCAAGCUAGAGACCCCUAUUAUGACUCCAACUGCACCAUCAUGUAAGAAAGCAGGACACAAGAAAUUUGGGAAUUUUAGGGUGACCGAUCUUUUUCCCAGUCAUACAUGGAAAAGUGAAGUUCAGGGGUGCUGCUAAAUUUUAGGCAUGGUCCUCCAGAGAACUGGAAUAAAGAUGAGAAUUCAAUCAUAAUAAGGUGAAGGGAAGAUACUUGGGUCCGUAGGGGGAGGACUCUCUUUCCUGGGGCUGGGGCUAAUAAACCAGUUGGAGCUAUUGCCUAGGUCUAAAUUUUGGCUUGUUUCAAGUAGUUGGUUGGUUUGUAUAUUCGGUGGUUGUAUUUGAGAUCCUAGGAACAAGUGUUUCGAUAACCAAUAUUUUGUUUCCAAUCAUAAAUAUAUUUUUUAAUUCACUUUUUUAUAUCACUUUAUUAUAUUUUCAAUCCAUCUUUCGUGCUAUUUUUUUAUAUCAUAAAAAAUAUUAGUAUAAUAAUUAUUUCGAAUAAUAUUUUAAUUAAUACUUUAUCCAAAUACUAAUAUCCGUGUGGUACCAUUUUUUUUCGCCCUUGUUUUGUAAGUUUGAUUUGUUUUUGCAGAGAGAAAGUUAAAGCAUAUUAGAUUUAUUUGCGUAAUUGAAUUAAUGAGAGAGUUUUUGACAUUCCAACGAGUUGAUCCUUAAUUAAUUAAGCUUCGUUUCUCAACCAUAGAAAUCAAGAUGGUAGUUUGUAGCACAUGGUUUAUGCAAGUUAUAUUGUACUUAAAACCUUGGGAUGCAACUGAAUCGAGCUGCUCGUUUGGAGUUGAUCAAGAUGAAUUCGAGUUCAAAAAUUUUUAGUUCGUUAGCUAGCGAUCCGACUCGAGUAUAUAUAUAUUAUUUUUUAUUUUAAUAGUAAAAUUACAUAUAUAUUUUUUAAUAUUUUAUUAUUUGUUACAAAAAUUAUUAUUUUAUCUAUUUUUAAAAAUAAAAAUAAUUAUUUUUAAUUUUUUAAUUUCGAAUUUGAACUUUACAUUGAGAGCUCAUCGAACUCGAAUUAGAGUUCGAGUUUCAUAAAAUUAAAUUGAGAUUCGACUCGACUCGGCUCGUUUGCACCCCUGCUUAAAGUCACGUCAAGGGGUUAUAUCCAUUCGGUAACGAAAUACUAAACAACAAUUUAACAGUAGUAUAAUUUGAUGUAUGAUAAGAUUAUGGAUGACUAUACGAAUAUGCUUCCUUGAACCAAAAAUAAAGAGAGUAAAUUAACAAACCUGCAGCCCAAUUCUUUAUCCAUCCACUAAGAAAGAUUAGGGCCUGCCUGACUCCUCUGAUGCCAAACUAGGAAGAGUCAAGAAAUCUUGACAAUGCUUUUCUUAGAUGGCAUCCAGGGAGCCAGGCAGACCAUUUCUGCCUGCAUUUAUUUGGAUGAUGUUGGUUUAGCUGAUAUCCUUCCUCAACAUUAUUGUUUUCUGCAUCGUGCAACACGUUCUAAUGAAAAAAGUCCUAUGGCUGUUAGUUGUUACACAAUCGAUUCAUAAAAUUCUGGAAUUUUCUUAAAUUUGACGAUAAAAUGUGCACCAAAGAAUUUUUUUUUUUUGGCCUUUCUUUCUUUUAAUGUUCCUACAUCAAAGUAGUCAUCAGUUCACAUAUUUUCCAAACAUAAGGAAAUGAAAUCAGAACUUUUGAUAAGUUACAUACACAACACGACCCGAUAUAGGGUUCACGGCAUAUUUUAUCUGAUUCCAAUGAAUGAAAGGUGAGACAGUACCUUCUAAAAAGACUUUUCUUUUACUCCUCCUUUUGUGUUCGAGAGAUUACCCCAUAUAUUAUUAUUUUUCCGUGUUGAAUUUUCCUUAGUCGAAGUAGUCAGCAGUUCGUAUAUUUUCCAAACAUGAUAUAAUCAUAUACUAGCUUCGCAAAAUCGAUCCUUCUGUUCUGUGCCUGGAUUAAGAUGUUGUUGGGUUCAAUUUCCUGCGGUUUUCUUGUUAGACAAAUUUCUGGGAUUGAGCUUGAACUCAUGUUUAUUUCAAUUGUUUCGCUUUUUUUUUUUUUUUUUUUUUUUUUUCUCUGCAAUAGUUCUUUUGUGGCCAGAACAUUCAAGACAUUAAUGCUUAAAAAGAUGUAAGAGGAAAACCUCCUCAACCUACAGCAAGUCAAAUUUGGUUUCCAUUGGAGGACUGCUCCUAAAUUUCACGCGUUCACGCUUCACACACAAAGUUGACGCGGUUGGGAGAAAGGACCCCGGCUAAAGUAGAACCGAAGGGUGUCAGAAUUUUCCAACUUGAUUUAGGCUCUGUUUGGAUUCAGAUUUUUUUGAAAAAUAAUUUUUUUAUCUACAAUGGUACAGUAAUACACAAAUAAAAAUAAUUUCAAAUACAUCAUAUCUAUACAAUAUAUAAAAAAUAACUCCAAAUAUACAAAAUAAAAUUACACAACUAUCCAUCACUCUCCACCAUCACGGCCACCACCCCCACACUCACGACUCUCUCUCCGCUCAUCUUUCCUCCGUCUCUCCUCCUUUUUUCCUCUUCCUCUAUCUCUUUCUCCUUCCUCCUUUCUUCUUUCCCUUUCCCCGCCCCCCAAUUUUCUUCUUCUCGACUGAUCGCACCCUUCUUAGUCACAAUCAAAUCUGAUUGCGACUGAAGCCGUGACCAAAACGAUCGUGGUUAGAAUGGUGACUAAAGUCGCAGCCACCACUAGCGAGCAAGAGAGGGGUUUGGAGUUGGGGGGAAGGAGGGGAGGGGGAGAAGGAAGAAGGGGGAAGGAGGAGGAGGAGGAGGCAAUAGAGGGGAAGAGGAGAGGAAGAGAAAGGAGAGAGGGGGAGGAAAAGGGAGGGGAUAAUGGUGGGUUGUGUAAAAUUAAAAAAAAUUCCAAAAAAAUUAUAAAUUAUAAAAAUAUUCAAAAAUAUAUUUUAAAAAUAUCUCUAAAAAUAAUUCAAAAAACAUCUACAGUAAAAGUUUUUCAUAUACACAACUACAUUAAAGUUUUUGAAAAAUACCUCAAAAAACAGUUAAUCCAAAGAGCCGAUUGUUUCAAAAAAUUGCACAACUUUUUGUUGAAUAUUGGCCCUAACUAAAAGCCAUUUAUUAAUUUUAAAGUGUUUCUUUGUUUUUUUUUUUUGGCUUUAAUCUUCAUAAAGAAACAAGGUAGCUGAUAAUUAAGAGUCCGUGGUGUAUAUCUAAUUUUUAAUUUUUUUUUUUGUAUAGAAACAAUUAAAAUUGUCCGUUUGAAUUGCUAUUUUUUUGCAUUUUUGUAAAAAAAAAAAAAAAAAAGGGUACUGUAACGAUUUGAUGUAUGUGAAACAAAAAUGUGAUUGAAAAAUGUAUUCUUAGAUAACGUAAAAUUUUUUUGAAUAUAAAUGGCAAUCCAAACAAAAACAAAAGUACUAUUGCUUAUUCACUCGUAUUAUGAAUAUCCGUUGUUGGAGGAGAGUGAUGAUUCAACAAAUUUUCACAUAUUGCGCCCUCUUCUGCAUCCUUCUCCCCUUUUGACCCAAAACUUUUGGGUAUAAGGUUCAUCAACUCUCUCUGAUUGAGUCCCAAACCCCUCGAAAAGGCCUAACACGAUAGUCUUCUAAUUCAUUUUCACUUCUUCAGCGAGUUUGAAAUUGAUUUACAACCUGCUAUAUUUGCUAUCCCAACCGACCUUUCGCCUAAUUCGGAUUGACUUGAGUUCAAGUAACUUGAUUUACUCAAAUACUCACUACUGUAUCUCAAGUUCUAUACUGUAAAAGCCUAUUUCAACAACUUAACUAGCAUCGAAUUCUAUUCAAUAAGGAAGGUUUACUCGGUCGUCACAAAAGUCUGGACGAGUUUCUGAUGCGACCAGCCCCACUGGAAUACCGAGCCGUGUUUCAGGCUACUUGGUGCAUAUCGUCCCAAGUUCCACCUUCUAGGUGAUAGCACUGAAGAUGACCUUUUCUGGGUCUAUGGAACUGAUCAUUGACCGUCAACGGCAAUAUAAUAUUUUUUUAGACGAUAAUUAUUGUAUAAUUUAUUUUAUUUUAUAUUAAAAAGAUCGGAUGAAUCUGAAAAAAUUCAAAAAUAAUUCGAAAGACAUCGAAUCACCACAAAAUCGAAACAGAUGCACCACACAUUCAUCUAAAUUUUUAAGCAGAGCUAUAUAAUAUAAUAAUUAAAGAGAAAAGAUUUAAAUAAUUGGCUUCCCAACCCACCAAGCUUGAAUGCCAAAGGCUGGUCGUUGGCACGAUAUUGUCAUUGUGGGUCAUCUUAUUUAGUGAUGUUUCUUUGUAUCUUCUGAAGCUGUCGUCAUCUAAGCAAAGGGCCCUAUAAAUAGGUAGAGCGGCAGUUGACUAGCACGGCAGAAUAACCCAUUCUAAGGCCGAAAGAAGAACGACUUCUGCAGUCUCUUUUCUCAGCUAGAGCUGUUCAUUUUUUUUUCAGUCGUUUUACUUGCGGAAUUAAGGCAAUGAAGGUGAUGCUCUGAUUCAUUUAUUUAACUUAAUCUUGUGCCUUGUCUGGCAAAAGAUAUGUAGCUAACUAAUUUCAAUUUGGUUCCUUGAUUUUGUUACCUGCAGCAAAAAGUCGUGAUUAAACUUUCUAUGAAUGAUGAGAAGUCCCGCAAGAAGGCCUUCAAAACUGUUGUCGGUCACGCAGGUAAAGAAGAAAGUUCAAUUUUUCAAGAAUUAGAUUCCGCAAAAUACGUGAUAAAACUGAUUCUAUUACCUUAGUUCUUGAGAUUCUAAGAAAGAAUUCGGCUGAGAUUCUUAUACAGAUUCUGACCAUCAUUCCUCUGCUUUAUCUUCAGGUGUGGAAUCUACGGCUUUGCAGGGAAAGGAAAAGGAUCAAAUAGAGGUUGUUGGAGAUGGGAUUGAUGCAGUGAAGCUUGCAACUUUGCUCAGAAAAAAUGUUGGGUAUGCAGAGCUUGUGACCGUGAGCCCAGUUGGUGAGAAGAAAGAUGGUGAUAAAAAAGAAGAUGGCAAGAAAGAUCCCAGUUCUACACAGCCACCUGUGGUUUGGUCCACUCAUCCUUAUGUUUACAGCAGCGUACCUCACCAUCUCUAUCAAGUUAGAGACCCCUAUGAUGACUCCAACUGCACCAUCAUGUAAGAAUGCAGGUCACAAGAAAUUUGGGAAUUUUAGGGUUACCGAUCUUUUUCCCAGUCAUACAAGGAAAAGUGAAGUUCAGGGGUGCUGCUAAAUUUUAGGCAUGGUCCUCUAGAGAACUGGAAUGAAGAUGAGAAUUCAAUCAUAGUAAGGUGAAGGGAAGAUACUUGGGUCCGUAGGGGGAGGACU
rnacentral:lncRNA from 1 species